rnacentral:lncRNA from 1 species
AAGAGAGAAGCUACGAUCGCUGCUGUGUUCUCGUUGUUGAAGCUUACGAGAGAGACAAAGAUUCCUUCGUAAUUGUUUCCAACUUCGUUUCAAUUUCUCAACUGGUAAGCUCUCUAAUCUCUUCGUUUACUUUCGUGUUCUUGGGGGUUUGUGUUUCGUCCUUCCGAUUAAUCAUCUGGUUCUGUAGAAUCUCCGAUCAUCUGCUAAAUUAGGGUUCCUGCGAUUCUUGGUUUUCGGAAGAUUAAAGAAUUUUUAUAUGUGGUGAAAUUUCGAUAGGGGUUUUUGUUUCACAAGUGAUUAUUAUGAUUCGAAAUCUCUCGCUGUUCUUUGUUACGAUGAAUCUUCAAGUGAGAUUGCUAUCUCAAUGUGUGUAUAAUAUAAUAUGAUUUUGUCUCGUUGAUUUUGUGAUGCAGAAGAGCCAUGAUUGGGUUAUUCAAAGUUAAGGAAAAGCAAAGAGAAGAAGCUAAAAACACCAACAGUAGAGGAGCUUCUGUCAAGAAACAAUCUGCUGGCGAACUUCGUCUUCACAAAGGUUCUCACUUUCUUCUGCUUUUGACCUAAUUCAGUUUCUGAUGUUGAACAAAUUGUAAAAUUUCUGUAUAGAUUUUUGGGCUCUUCAAGUGAUAGAACUAAGUAUUGUUUCUCCAUAUAUAUCUUUUGUUGUGUAUAGAUAUAACAGAGCUGAAUCUGCCAGAGUCUUGUACAAUAUCUUUUCCGAAUGGGAAGAAUGACUUGAUGAACUUUGAAGUUACCAUUAAACCCGACGAAGGUUAUUACAAGUAAGCAUAUCAAAUCUUCAUCUGCCCUUUUGUCUCUCGGGUUUACUGAAUCUGCUUGAACACACACAAACUCAUUCGUUCUUCUUUUACCAAAAACAGAAAUGGUAAAUUUGUAUUCACAUUCCAAGUCUCUUCGGUGUAUCCACAUGAAGCUCCAAAAGUUAAAUGCAUUACCAAGGUUAGGCUCUCUCUUCAAUCUCUGAAGUGUGUCGAUCUUUCUAGAAAUAUGAUAUAUUUGUUAUCCUUUGUAGGUCUACCAUCCGAAUAUCGAUUUAGAAGGUAAUGUUUGUCUGAACAUCUUGCGUGAAGACUGGAAACCGGUUCUCAACAUAAACACAGUUAUCUACGGUCUUUUCCAUCUCUUCACGGUAACAAAUAUCCCUUUGCAGAUACUCUUUCUACUGAUUCAACUUUCUUGGGGACUAAGUGUUUUUGGCUUCAUACAGGAACCCAAUUACGAGGAUCCUCUGAACCACGACGCAGCAGCGGUUUUAAAGACUAACCCGAAGCAGUUUGAGACCAAUGUUAGGAGAGCUAUGGGCGGUGGUUAUGUUGGCAACACCUCAUUCCCUCGUUGCAUCUAGGCAGGAGUGUCUGGUUCGGUUUCAAAGCACUCAUCUUUCUUUUCUUCGUCUCAAGAAACUUUGUGUCGUUGGCUCUUUUGUACAUUUGUCUUUGACCAAGUGAUUUUAGGUAUCUUCUUUAACUGUUUUCAAUUUUUAUUUCGAACAAAAUGUAGUAAGCAUCAAAACACAAGCCAAUCCAAAAAAACAAUAGUAGUAACAAAGCUUUAAUGACUCUCAUUGCGCAUCUCUACUUCUUCUCUAGAAGUUGGAGUUUUAUUGGUUUUCCUAUCAUUCCGGAAAAUAAAAUGUAACGGUGUGUAACAAAGACCACACAAUUCCAAACGGGACGGCCAUCAUCAACAUGAUCCCCUUGGACAACGCCUUGGCCUCACGACCAGAGUCUUUAAUAUUAUCAAUUCCUUUUGUGCCAAACCCGAAAACUUUCUCCGACAUGAUCCCAACCAAAGGAGCACCGAACGACGAAAAAGACACUUCGAGUGCACGGUCAAAGGCGUAGACCAUGGUUCGAUGUGUAGGAGGAACAAUCUCAGCUAAGAUUGGAGAGUUAAUGGCUGGUCCACACCAAGUUAUGGUGAGACCCAUUAGGAAAAGAGUUAGCAAGUAGAUGUAGUAACUGUUAGUAGACUGUGGGAUUAUUUGUAGAAGAAUAAUGGAGAAUAUAGCUCCCAUGAAAACGCUGAAUUGUGCGCAAAUCAAUAUGCCUGAGUUUGGAAAGAGAUGUGACAUUUUGUCUGCAAUUAUUCCUCCGAUUAAAGAUCCUAUUGAUUGUCCCGUGGUGAAUAUUCCGUUCAGAAGCGCCGCCUGAUUAUGACUAAAACCUGAAAAUUAAAAUAAAAUAAAAAACAACUUUGAAAAUAGUUUUUUGGUUGUUUGAUUAGGAUAAUACCAUUUCUAUGUUUCAUAAUGGUCUAGAAACGGGAUGAACAUUUAGUUUUAGUGCAAAUCUAUUUUUAGUUCAGUUCAAUUUGUGGUUUAAUUUUUGAAAAAAUAAUUCAGAAGUAAAAUAAUUUUACCUCUUCAUCUUUCGACUUUAGUAGUAGUAUAAAGAUUUGGUUUUGCUAGACCUUAAAGAAUCUUAUAUAUAAAAGAUGACCAACUCUCUCCAUAUGAAUGACACAUCAUCAUUUUCAAUUGAUAUGGAGAUGACAUGUGUCACUUUUUAUAAUUUAAAGUUAUAUUUUUUCUAAAAAGUAAUAAAUUACUAAUUUUUAAUAUCAAGUUUUAAACCACUCAAAAAAAUGAACAGUUUUUUUCAUUAAUUGAUUGAUAUUGAUUGGUAUUUAUUUUAUUUUAUAUAAUUCUCAUUUUUUAAUGAUAUUGUAUUUAAAAUUGUUUUUUUGGAUAAAAUUUUUAAAAUUAUUAUAAUAACAUAUUAACACACAUAACAAAUAAUGAUUAUAUGAUAUUGUAUUUUAAAUUGAACUAAGAUUAUUUUCUUUUUUGGAUAAAAUUUCAUAACAAAUAAUAAUAAAAAUUGUUUUUAUAUUUAUAAUUAUAUUUGCUUUUGAAUUUAUGAUAUUGCAUUUUAAAUUAAUUUCUAAAAUUAUUUUUUUAUCUAAAAUUUUUAAAAUUUUUUAUAGUAAUAUAUUAACACACAACAAAUAAUGAUUAUAUUUGAUUUUAUAUAAGAUUUGAAUAGUUAAAAAGAAAAACUUGCACAUUAUGUGCGGGUAUUCACCUAGUUAUAACGAAUAAGGACUUAAUAAACCAUAUAAUUCAGGUAGAACGUAUGUUUUCUUUUUGUUGAUAAUGUAUGUUUUGGUUUUAGGUGCAAACUAUAAUUAAGAAUGGAUGCACAAGGAUGCAGCAGAACUGAAGUAGUUUAUCAAGUUGUUAAUUUCGGCUUUUAGAAUGAAAAAGGAUUAAUCAAGUUGUAAAAACGUUUAUUUUUUCUUUGAAUAUAAUUUAACAAUAUUUUAUUAAAAAAAAAAAGAAUGGAUGCCUACCAAUGAGUUCGAACCACAUUGUCCAGAAAACCAUUGCAUUCCAUGGCACCGAACCUAUAAUUCCCUGCAAUAUGAUGAUUUGAAAUGUUCGUAAUUUGGCUACAUCAUUUAUGGCCACCCACGAUUCCAUCCAAUUCGAGCUUCAACUCUCCAUUGUUGCAUUGUUUUCAUCUCUACAAAAGCCGCAUGACUAACUCAAAAACUUAGGACAAUUGAAAAUAAUAAGAAGCUAUAAUCAAGAAUGUAGAGAUUUAUAUCACCGUUCAUGGUCAAGAACAUUGGAGCUACUAGUUUUCUUCUUCUCUCUCGGGUCAGUGACAAAGAAAAAAACAAGAAACCCGAUCAUCGUACUUACCGUUGCACUCAGUAGAUAGGCGCAGCGCCAGCCCGAGACUCCGUCAAAAACAUGACCAGCCAUGACCGUAGGCACGACGGUUCCACCUAUACCUCCAACCGUACCAAUGAGAUUCCAUAAACCAAAACCAAAACCUCUUGCACUAUCCUUAAAGCUAUCCGCGAUUAUCGACUGAAGCACCGGAUAAACAAUUGCAUGUCCAAACCCAUUGGCUGCUGCGCCAAAGGUUACCUAGUCCAAGAUAAUAAUAUGAACCAAAAAUCAAAUUUAAAAUCUUUUCUUUUUAAAGAGGGGAAACAUAUGUUUUUGGUCCCACGACUCCUAAUAUUGGACCUGUAAGUAACCAAAACGGUCGUUUGGAAGUUCCACAAUAUACUCAAAAAUUAGUAUCACAGUCACGAAAAAUAGUUUAAUGAUCUUGACACAAAUUAUUCGUUUAUUAGAGGGUUUUUUUCCUUAAAAUGUUAAUUUUUUUUUCUAUUUUCAUUAUAUGUUCUCUAGUCAAUGAUUUAUUUUAGUUAAAAAUCUUUUUUUGUCGUAAGUCUUAACGGUAUUGAUCUUAAGUUUUAAAAUCUAGACAGGCCGGUGUCUAGAUUUUUUCAUUUAUAGUCAAGAAUAUUUUUUGGUGCAUGCUCCCAAUUUAAUAUAAACUUUGGUGCAAAAGCUUAGACUAUAAUAGGAAGAGAAGAAAGAAAAAAAGAAGCUUAAACCUGGAUGAAGUAGCGGCUGACUCCAGUUGCAAUAGUUGAUAUGACCCAAAAGAAGCUACCGACCGCAAAAACCGUGGGGCGGUCAUAGCUGAUGGCCAAUAAACCGGCUAAAGGCGAGGCAGCUCCUUGAACAAUAUUUCUUAUAAACGAGAGGAGUCCAAUACUAGAGAGGUUCGCAUCGAAUGCUUCUUUCAAUUCUUUGGCAGUUGAAGGAAUGAGUUUUUCGUCUGCUCGUUGCAUCAUUGUGGCCAAGUUAAUGAUAAUGAGCGAAAUAGAGAUUCCAUAAAUGGUCCCUGUUCUAUGGACAUAGUAGUACACAUUGUAAGAAAUCUACCAAGAAAUGUGGAAUGUAUAGUGACUAGAGUCUAAUAAUUUGUCAAAAAAACCAUCAAUAGAAAGGAAAAAAAUAGUAAUGUAUAAAUAGUGGGCUUAACACUAUGAAAUUGAGUAAAAAUAUACUCUUAAUGGAAGAAGAAAAAGAUGACGAGAUAAAAGGAUAUUAUGAAGAAAAAGUGAAAAAUGCUUACUUCAUUUUCAUGGUUUUGGUAUGAAGACGAUUGGGUUGGGGGCAUAGAAACGAAUACAAUUUUCACUCGAAUGGAGGUGAUUUUUAAGAGAAAAAUGUUUUCCAACUAACUGCUAUAAUAAAAACAAUAAGGGGGGUUAAUGAUAUUUAUAUUUGAAAUGUUAUGACAAUGAAUAAGAAUGGUCCACUUAACGAAGAAAACAUUGGAAACAAAACAAAUAGCGAUUCUGAUUUUUGUUUUGUUUUGUUUACUACUCCUACUUAAUACUUAGAUUCUGAAUAGCGAUCAAAAAUAGGCAAAAUACAAACAUUGUAGGAAGAAGAUCUAGUCAGAUUUAAUUUUUCAUUAAACGCUUUGUUUUUUUUCUCUGGAAAUUAAAAUCAUCUUUAAAGUUUUCUUUCUCUUAUAUAAUAAAAGAAAAAAUUAUGUGAAUGAAAAUAUUAUGUGUUCACAUAACCUUUUUAUUCUGUAGUCUACAUGAGUGUUAAUGGGGCUAGUCCGACUUAGCCCGUUCUAAAUUCUGUAAACCAUUAUCGCAAGCUUUUUUGGAGCUUAUAUUAAAUUGUUGGUUGGGUCGGGACAAAACUAUAAGAUUAGUCUGAGUAUUUCGGAUCCUUCUCAGUGAUAAAUAUGUUCUUUUUUUUUAACAAAAAAAAUCAAUUAAAAAAUAUAACUCACAACAUAUAAAACAUUAGAAAGAGAGUGACCAUGAAGAUGUAACAAUUCUCAUGUCAUUUCUAUUUCUCAUGAACCAAGAUUUCUAGCGAUUUAUCGAUCUUUCAGAAAAAGAAAAUGUAACGGUGUGUAACAAAGACAACACGUACAAUCCAAAAAGGAUAGCCAUCAUCGACAAGAUACCCUUCGACAACGCCUCGGCCGCACGACCAGACUCUUUAAUAAGAUCAGUUCCAUUUGAGUCAAACCCAAACAUUUCUCCGACAUCAUCCCAACCAAAGGAGCACCAAAUGAUGACAAAGACCCUUCAAGGGCACGAUCAAAGGCAUAGAUCAUGGUUCAUAAAAAAAAAUUGGUCAGAUUUUUUAAAAAUUUGAUCGUGCACUUGAAGGGUAAUAUAUUAGAAAUAUAUUAUUUUAAUUAAACCACAUUGCAUUCAUUCAACUCAUACAAACAACAAUAAUGACAUGUAACAUUUGUGGCAUUAUUUAACGUAUAUAUGACAUCUUUCUUUUGAACAAAAUAAAAUAAAAUAUUAAUAGAAUGUAAUCUUUAUUUUUUUUUUCGACGAAAUAACAUUAUUUAAUUUGGCAAAGAUGAAGAUACAUAGUCCUUAUGAAGGUAAGGUGUUAACCAAAUAGGAGGAUUUAUACAACCAGAAAAGAAAGAAGGUGUUAAUAGAAUGUAAUCUUUAUUAUACUCUUUAUUAGUAUACUAAAUAAUCUUUCUCUCCAUAAAAUAACUGAAAUAAUAGAGGUGAAAUUGAGAUUUAGAGUUAAAUUUUGCUUUGGAAAUACACUCAUAAUUACCAAUUUGUAACGAUCGAUUAAACCUUAAAAAAAUGACGUCAAUCUAACAUUGAAAAAUAUUGUACAUUGUACAUAUAUAGGUUGGACAUGGAUUAACUAUAUUAUUUGCCCAUCACGACAUAAGACGACAUUGUUUUGCCCAUUCGAAGAGAGAACUAUGAGACGACCCACCUUGAGCCCAAGCUUGUUCAGAGCUAACCCUCACUUCCUCAGCUUUAGCCCUUAUCUUCCGUCCUUCUUCAUCCUCUUCCGCCACAAUCUUUCUAACCAAAGACGCCACUUCUUCCCGGCCAAUCACUUUCUUCGCCGGUAACACCGACGUACGAACAGCCACACCGAUCUCCUCCGUUAGCAACGUGGCAUUCAUCCAUUGCUCAGCAUAAAGAGGCCAAGCCACGAUCGGAACUCCUUUAGUCAAACUCUCCAACACUGAGCUCCAACCACAGUGAGACAAGAACCCACCUAUCGAUCCAUGGCUCAAGAUCUCAACUUGCGGUGCCCAUUGCGUGACGACAAGACCCAUACCACGCGUGCGGUCCAAGAAACCUUCCGGUAGACUGGCACUCACCUGAUCAUCAUCGUCUCUCGAGCUCGCACCGAGGUAAGAAAUGGGCCUGCGUAGAACCCAUAAGAACCUCUGACCACUUAACUCUAAACCCCAAGCGAGCUCAAUCGUUUGCUCUAACGACAACGUUCCACCACUCCCUAAACACACGUACACCACUGACCUGUCACGUUGCUUGUCUAACCACUCGAAUAUACUAUUGGGCCUUUUGAUAGGCCCAUUAUUCCUAACAAUAGGCCCAAUAGCAUAAACCGGUAUUUUCAUUACCCGGCUCAAUUCUCCAUCCUCCCUGAGCGCAUCAAGAGUGUUUCCUUGCAACUCCUCCCAAGUAUUCACCAAAACUCCAUCGCUCAUAGGUACCUCCUCGCCAAUCCGUACACACUCCCGGUACUGCUGGUUCGACCGGUCUAACACUGUUUCCAUAAGAUCAUCCGGUCCGACCGAUCUACAACCCGGUAUUCUCAUAGGCUCUUUGAUAUCAACGUAUUCCCCUUCGAUAACCUUGUCCAAUACCGGCAAGUACACCAUCUCUGCCAAGAACCACGCGUGUGAAGGGACGUACACGUACUUAGCCGUCACGCCGACGUCAUCAGCAACGGGCAUCAACCCGGUACCUAAAAAGUCAACGAUCAUGACCGUCGGUUUUCGCUUCAUUGAUUUCACGGCUUCUCGAAACGUGGGCUUCAUGGCUUGCAUCUUCACUACGAUCUUAGUGAACACUGUCGCAUCUGAAUCCACGAGAUUGUCUACAUCAACCGAGGGUAAUUCCGUAACUUCACAGGUACCUCUAGCCACGGCUGCUUGUAUGGCCUCGGUUUCUGUUGGAGAGGAGGAACCGGAGGUGACGGCGAGAAUGGUGACGUGAACAUUGAGGACGGAGGAGAGACGGUUUCCGAGUUCGAGGAUAGGGAUGAGGUGGCCUAAGCCAGGGCUAGCGACUAGGAGCGCGUGAGGCUGGUCCAUGAUCUAUAUAUAAGGUUUUGUUAAGAAUGAUUAUGAAUCGAGAGAAUGUUAUCAUAAAAAGAUUUUUAUUUAUGUGACAUCUUCGAACACAUACCUGUUCUUGUAUAAGAAGAUGUUUCUUGCUUGUCAAUGGCAAUGCAUGAAAUAAGACUGGAUAUAAUUAUUAUUGCUUUUAUAAUGGAUGAGUAUUUACCAUAAUUAAGUUCAUAUUUAUUCAUGUGGCAAUUGCUAUGCGUGGAUUGUAGUCGAUCUGGGUCAUUGACAAGUAACAUACUGACAUGCAUGUUAAUUAUUACGCAUAAGACCAAACGUUAUGCUACCACUAACAAGCAUGCCUACUUUCUUACCUAACUGUUUUUUUUUUUUUUGUGAAAGGUACUGAAGCCUAACUUUGUCUACCAAAAGAAAAAAGGACAAUCUACGUGUCCCGAUGUUUUCCAAAAUUGUCCAAAGCAAGAAGAAGAAAUGACAAAAAAAAGUCAUUUUUUAGUGGGUUUUUAACAGAAAUUUAAUAUUAAACAAUUGAGGCUGCGUUUCUAGUUUGGCAGAAACUUCUCCUAUUUGGGAACUUUUGAAGACGUUUCUUCAAACACUGUUUCUUCAAACACGUGAAGAGAUAUUAUUGGUUAAACUAUUUGAGAAAACAUUUUUUUUUUCUAAAAGUUUCCCGAUAGUUUUCAUUUCUUCCACCUGCUCUCUUCUUCGACGAAAUCGAGGAGAACACGAUCUGUUUCCGGCAGCUUCUCCGACGGUCGGCAGUUCUCAGACGGUGGCUCAGUGGUCCGAAAUCGACGAUGUUUUCAGAUAAAUUUUAUGAACCCUAAUCUCUGGAUUUUCAUCUGAAAAUGGCGAUCCUCGUUAAACCAAAACAGAAAUAGUGAUUGGUUUCUCGUUUGCGGAUUACUGUUAAGUAGAGAAUCCAUCAUUCCGUUGUCGUUCUGAUUACACCAAAUCAAAAUCUCAUGAAUCAAAUGCGAAUUAGGGAUUAGAAAGCUUCUGAUUGAGGGAUGGUUUGAAUUGGAAGCUUCGACAUGUUAUUGGAUCAAGUUUUUUUGCGUUUUCCUCUGUUUUCUUAGACUCCCGUGUGUUUCCAGAAGAUUUGGAUAGAUAAUUCGACGAUCAUUGUACAUUGUUUGAGAUCCUUUUGCUUAAUUACAUGUCAAUCGUGUAGAAACUCAGGUUUAGCUACAUAAAAUGCAUUGCAGGAUAAUCAGAUUGAUUUGCUGGUUUUUUUUUAUAGAAUGGAAGGUGACUCGAGGUAUCGUCAUUUUCAGAUGGUGACAACGACAACAUUGAGCGCCGUAGUGCAGGAGAGGUAGAAUCUGAGCUCGUAAAAAGGAAAGCUAGCAGUGAAAUCUGAGCGUCGUAGUGCAUGGAGGUGCUUGUAACACCCAGCAAGAGAGAUAACUUAAAGGGAAAAUCAAGAACAGCAACAGUGAACGAGAAACAGGGGAUCAACGUAGCGAAUGGAGUGGGAGAUAAAGACUUGGGUCAUAUCGUGAAGACCAUUAUACGUUUAGAGCUAGGAGGUCACAUAGACAAGAGUUUUAGGGAAAGGUUCUUGACAUGGUAUAGCUUAAGAGCUAUUCACCGAGAAGUUAGAAUCGUGAAGCUCUUUGUGGACACAUUCAUGGAGGAUCUGUCUUCUUUGGGACAACAGCUUGUGGACACAGGAACAGAGUCUGGGUAAAAAUUGCAGUACAUAUUACUACAUGCGAAAUGCAGCUUGAACCCUCAUCCUUUUUGGCUCGUGUUUAAGACGGCAUGAGAAGGACCUGUAAGAGAGGAGAAAUUGAUGAGGCAAAUUGAUUAAUACGAAAACAAAACUGGAUGCAAAGAGUCACGAGAAGACGUUGAUGAUUCACCUUCAUUGCAGCGUAGACAUGGAGCAACAAAAUGCUGAGCCUGAGAAGUUGUUAAAUUCCAUUAUCUACAAAAGACGUUGAUGCUUUACCUUCAUUGCAGCUUUAAAAGCUAAUUCAGACAUACUAGUACAACCUACACAAAACAGCUUGAUGGUAAAAAUUUGGAUUAAAACAUAAAUUUUUUUUUUUUUUGAAACCCCAAAGGGUCUCUGCAUUAGACCUUAAAAAUUCUACCUCUUCUUAACUAAGUUUCUAAUCCAAUAAUAAUAUUUAAAAAAUCAAUAAGAGACUCAUAUGCGUCUUUGCAUUGCUCUUACUCGCGCCGUAUACUUCCGUUUGACGACAUGUGUGUGCUGCAUGCAUACAUAUCUUCUCAUAAUCGGACUCGUAUCUCCGAAGAUCACCUCACUACACAAAACAAGGACAACUUAUUCUAAGUUAUCUGCACAAAAUUAUUUAAUUUUGUUUUUCUUCGAUUUGUCCAUCAUGUGAUCAUGUCCCAACAGAAUUCUUUACAAAACUUUAGCAAACAAACAAAAAAAAUUAAUUCGUUGCAAACGUCCAUAGUUAUAUUUUUCACCCACAAUUUUCUGCACAAAAUAGCACACUAGUCUCAAUUUUUAAGGACGCAUAAUUCUCGCCUUAUUGUGUUCCAUAACAUUUCUGAAAUACAUUUAAGACCGACAAAUUAUUAAUGAAUUUAUAGUAUAGACAUAUAAGUAUUAUGUAAUAGAACGUAAUUAUACUAUAAAUUUUAGUAAAAAUGCGUAGAUCUAUCUAAAUUUUUUUAAAUCUCUGUAAAAUUUAUUUUUAACUAUUACAAAAAAUGCUAAAUUUCUUCUUUGUUUAUAUUUUUAUGUUAUUGUCAUGCAUUCAAUAGAAUACACUUUGGCAAACAAACAAAAAGAAAAACAAACUGGAACUAUGUGAAAAGUCUCUGAAAGUGUACCCUAUGGGAGCAAAUCUCAAUCCAUGGUAUACAAGUUGUGUAAUUGCUAUCCGACUACGAUGAACAGGCAUAGAAUCAGCGAGAAGAUGAUUAAGACUUAUGAUCACUACCUAAGCCAAAAUGUAAUCCAAAGUUUUCUGGAACAAGUUAUUAGUGAUCUUAUCCAAGAGUGCGGUUGUCUGAAUCGGCUUGAGGAAUGACGUUAAAGUGCUACUAAUUCAUGCCCUAUGUGCUACACAAAAUAAGGAUGAUUAACUUGUGGAUGUUGAAUAAGCUUGAUUUUCUAAAGGAUUUAGGAAAGAGUUUAGGAUAAGGAAAGUUUCUAUCUAGGAGUUAUCUAGAAAGUUCUUAGGAGUUAUCUAAGAAUGUUAAGUGUUUAUCCAUUAGGAUUAGGAUGUGUUUAUCUCCUCUCUAUAUAAGAGAUACCAAAGCUGUGGUAAUCUUUAUGUGUGUUUUGAGAGAGAUUAAGAACUUUAGGUUUUGAGUGAGUUUCCUAAGGAUUUAUAGAAGAAGAGCUUUUAUAUUCUUGAUCUAAACAUUCAUAUAUUCUAGAGUGGAUCGGCCACAAAUAUCACCGAAGACUGGUUUCGUAAACGAUAGUUCAAAAGCAAAAAUAAUUAUCUGGUUAUAAAGAAAAAUUAAGUUAUUAGUGAAUUGAUCUUCAGAGACAAACAACUUAUGGGUCUCAUAAAUGUCAUGGAUAUUAAUUCAAUAGGUUCUGUGUACUAAGCCUCUCCAAAGAAGCCACUGAAACGAAUGAUAUUAAGCAACCUAGUUAACGCCAGUCGAACCAAAUGAUGUAAACCCAUAUUAUUAGUAUACUAGAUAUAUGAUAUCUCGCGCGACCCGCGAGUUGUUAUAUUUGUUUUCUCAUAUAUACUUUCAACCUAUUAUUUAUGUUGUAACUUGUAUUUAUGUUUUAGUUUUUUCUAUUUUAAUGAUGAAAACAUUUAUUUUAUAAAUGUAACAGUCAUUCGGUAUUAUAUGCAAAUGCAAAAGAGACAAAUAUACUGUAGAAUUGUGUGGUAUGGUUAGAACAAAAAAAUACUAUUUAUUUUCAAAAAUAAAAUAUGUAUGAAUAAAUGAGCCACUUAUAAUGGCUUUAUGUUUGUGAAAAAAGAAAAUAGCACAUACAUACGUUAUUUAGUGUGAUAUAUACUUUGAUUGCAUCAACUGAAUGUGGUCUUUAAUUGUGUAGAUAAAUGUGGUCUUCUACAUUAGUGAUGACUUUUUAUCAUUUUUCUCUGUUUAUGUAUAUAAAAUAGUACAUUUCAAUCGUAAGUAAUACUAACAAAUAAGUGAUAUGAUAACUAUAUGGCAUUAUUGUUUUCAAAUUACAAAUUUGGAUCAGUUUUAAAAAAAUUAUUAAAGUUUCUUUUUUUAUUAAAUAAUGAUUUGGUGUAUGGAUUUCCAUUUUCUGAGUGUUGAAUAUGGUCAUUAAAAAUAGUAAAUUUUGAUCUUAAGAAAUAAAAAAAUAGUGAUAUGAUCAGUUUGCAAUUUAAAAAACAUUAUUAAAAAUUUAAGGCCUAAUAAAUACUCAAAAGAAAACAAAAUAAGAUUAUAGUUUCAAUUUGUUUUUUUUAACUUACAAAUGAAAUCACGUUAAUUCACAUUUAGUGAAUGUUAAAUAAAAGUUGAACUCCGAUUAUUUUCCAAAAAAAAUAGUGUUAGCUAUGUUCCAAAAAAAUAUGAUAAACCACAAGAAAUUAGCUAUUAACAAAACUAAAAGAUGAACAAUUACAAAAUAUAAUAUCGAUUACAAUAUUACAUACCAAACUUACAAAAAUAACAAAUGAAAAUAUAAAAUUAUUCAACAAAAAGACAAAAGUAAAAAAAAAAAAUUGUAAAAAUAGAAAACAUAAAGCUUAUAAUGAUUACAAAGUUUAAAAACACGUAUAAGAAUUACAAAAAUUAACAACUAAAAUACAGAAGAAGAAGAAAAAAUCGAUUGAAAACCAAAAUCACAUUUUUAUAUCGAUCUUUGAUUUCUCCUUUUUGGUCUUCAUCGCAGAUCCUACUUCUAUUUUUUUUAUUUUAUUCUCGCCAUUUUUAUGUAUAUGGUAAUAAACUAAUAGUAAUGAAAGACCAAUAUAUUUCUAUAUAUGAAGUAGUUUAAGACCAAAAACUAUAUGGAUUUGAAGCAUGAGGUUGUGAAAGAGGAAAACUUAUCUCUAUAUAUAUAAGAAAUAAUGAUUAACCUUUUAGUUCUUUUUUUUGUUUAACUUGUAAGUUACAUGUCAAUUAAGUGGUCAAUCAAUUGAGUUUAAUUGAGAUUUAAAAUGUAGGUAACAAAAUUAAAUUGUUAAAGAUUCUCAAUAAUCAUGAUGAUUAUUUGAUAAUGACAUGAUUUACUUGGUCUUUUAAUUGUGUACAUAAGAUAGAUUUAUUUAUUUAUAUUAUAUGAAAAUCUGUUUAGAUGUUAUUUAUCUGAUUCUUUAAAAUUUUAUAUGAAUAAUAAGUUUUGUAAGUGGAUGUGUGGAAUUAUGUUAAGCUUAGUUGGAUGAUUUAUUUGUUUUAAUUUAAUCUCAUAAGUAUUACAAAAAUAAAUUUGUUAGUGGAGGUGGUCAAAUAAUAGAUUAUAUCUUUACGUUUCUUACAAUAGUGAAUUAAUGCUAUUAGUCUUACUUAGUAUUAUUUGCUAUAUUGAUGGAUGAUUUUGUGAGUUAUGAAUUAAACAUUAAUGUUAUUAGUCUGAAUUAGUACUUGUUUGCUAUAUUGAUGGAUAAUUUUGUUAAUUAUAAUUUUUUUAAUUGUGUAAAUAAAUAUAUUUAUAAAUAUGAAUGCCAAGUGGUCCAAUAGGGAGAGAGUGAAACCCUUCUAAUAAAUAUAUUUAUAAAUAUGAAUAUCAAGUGCUCCAAUAGGAAGAGAGUAAAACCUUUUUUUUAUAUAUAUGAUUAGCAUUAACGCUAAUUAACAAGAACUUGAUUUUAUUCUCCACAAUGUCCUGUAGAAAAAAAAAUGUUGUUUAUAGAGAAAACGGUCAUCUAAGUAAACGUUUUUUAGCCAAAAAAGUAUAAACAUUUUAGUAAACACAAACUUAUGUUGAUUUGGACCAAUUUAUGUAUCACUUUUAUCAGUAUUAACUUUCACUAAAUUAAAACAACGUCGCUUAUUAUAAAAAAAAUAUUCAAAAUUUCCAAUUUUUGUUCCAAAUUCAUAAUUUCUCUAUUUUGAUUUCAACUCUCUUUUCCAAUUCGAUUUUGAUAAAUUCCUGUUUACUAAGGACAAGAAAAUUUUCCUUUUAAUUUAGAUCCAAAAAUAUUAUGUGUUUUUUUCAUGCUUAGUGACCAAAACUCGUUAGUUCACAUAUUCUUGGAACCUUAACAAUAUAUUGAAUAAAUCCUCCUCCUCUAUAUUAUGUUGGUAAGGCUGGAACGGAGCUGGAUAUCCGGACUUUUCAAAGUAUUUGGAUUCGGAUUCGCCAUAUAAUCAAUUUUACUAUCCGGAUCCGGAUCCGAAAACUCCGGAUAUCCAGAGACCAAAUAUUUACAGAUAUCCGAUCGGAUAUCCGGUUUCGUUGAUUUAAAAAAAAUCUUCAAUUUUUUAAAAUUAUAAUGAUAUAACAUAGAUAAUUAAAAUGUAUCAUCAUAACAAAAGUUACAAAUAGCAAAAAUUAAAAGGCAUUCAAGUAGCAUUCAAAUAGUACAAAGUUUAAAAGUUUACAUAGCAAAAGAGAAAAUAGUAAUAGAGAAGUUAAUUUAUUUUCAUGUUCAUGUGCUAUCCAUUUUCAUGUUUUUUUCUUACAAUCUGAAAUAGAAAAUUAUCAUGCAAUAUGAAUUUAAUUAUAUGUAAAGGAGUUAAACCAAAAACAAUUUUAAUUUUUAAAAAUGAAUAAAUAUUAUCAAAAAUAAUAUAUAUUUAACAAACGGAUAAUGGAUAACGAAUAUCCGGUUUCACAAUUUUCUAUUAUCUGGAUCCGUAUCUGAAAUAACCAAAUACUUAAUUUCACUAUCCGGAUCCGGAUCCGAACUACACAGAUAUUCAGUUUUUACGGAUCAGAUAGGACCAGAUACCGGAUCAGAAACCGGAUACCGGAUAAUAAUUUCAGACCUGUAAUGCGGGUUAAGAACUUUUUCUCCUUCCCCUUCUUUAAACUCCGACUAGAUUCUACCCCGUGCGUCCGCACAAGAAUUAUUUUUUUUUUAUGGAAUAUAAUUUUUGUUUUUAUUUUUUUUAUAUAAAUUUCUGAUAAUUGAUAAAAAAAAAUUAUGUUUAAAUAUAAUUUGAAUCUAUUGAUUUUUCAUUUCUAGUAUUAUAUAUUAACGCGAUUAGAAAAACAUUAUUGUAAUCCGUCUGUUCAUAUUAAGUUGAAAAUAUCACAAUUAAAAAAUAUUAUAAUAUGUUCAUUUAUAUUAAUCAAAAAAUUGAAAUUAAUAAAAUAUUUAACAUGUCCGUCCAUAUUAUUUGUAUAUUUUAAAUAUUUAAAAUUUAAACUUAUUUAAUAAAAAAUAUAAUCAUAUAUUAUUUUCAUUUCUGUCAUUGAAAAUAUUAUUUAAAUUUGAAUAUUUAAAAUAAAUCUAAAUUAAUAAUAUUUGGUAAUAUAUAAUCUAUAUUUAAGAAAAUCUAUAAUAAAUCUAAAUUAAAAACUAAAUUUUCAAAUUUAUAUUAAAAUUAAAAUUAAAAAUAUAUUAUUUUAUUAAUAUUACACUAAAUUAACUUAUUUAAUAUUUAUUAAUUAAAAUCAUAAUUAUUUGGCAACAAAAUAGUUAUCCAAAAACAGAAUAGUAUGAAAUUAAAUAAAAAUUCGAUUUGGACACAAAAUACCCUUUUCUUUUCAUAGUAUAGAUUUGAUUUGAAUGAGCGCUUUCCAUUUAUAUCACAGAAAAUAUAAAUAACUAAUUUCUCGCAUGUAAAUUUGGGGUUUAAUGGAGAAAAAAUAAGUAACUACUACUAUAGGGGUUUUGACAGACUAUCUUUUAUAUUUUCUUCUUUUUUUUUUUUUUUUUUUUUAUUGAAUUCUUCUUUUUUUUUGUUCAAAGGUUUUGAUAGACUAUCAUUCAAUUUAAAUACAGGGUAUGAUUUUCCAUCAGAUCAAACCUCGGUUAGGUUUAAUGAGGAGGUUAACAACUCGAGUUACUAGACCAUUUAUUGGGCUAUAAUAAUUUAGGCCCAUUAUUUUAAUUAUUUGUAUCCGCCCGCAGUGUAGUAAAUGAAUGAGGCUUUAUCAAGCUCGUAUCAGUACCUAGAAUAGAACUUCAAUUUUGUGGUUUUCUUACUAAUCACAUAAUUUUUAUGAACGCUUAUUUUUUAGCCAUUCAUCAUUCAUUUCACGUAAACAAAACCAACGAAAUAUACCACUUCCCAUGCUGCAAACUUUUUGUUUUUGUAGAGUUCUUCAUGUUACAAUUAUAUUAAAUUUUGUUUGUUCUUUCCAUUUUUACCUAAAUAAUUCACGUUUUGAAUAGUUAUCAAUCUAAAAACUAGUAUAGUAUAGACUUCAAUGUAUUGUGAAAUUUGAUCUCUUAUUGGUUUAUUCUGUGGUGACGGUGUGAUUGACUAUUUGAAACUAGAUCUCUAACGUUUAGCCUAUUCAAAUAAAUUCUAAAAUACUACAAAGUCAUCAGUCCUAUAACCAUCUAUACUCUACAGAGAGAAAUAUGUGCUUCAAAAAAUUUAAAUCAAUUGUUACAGUAACAGAAAAGUUGCAAUUGUUAAUGAAAUUUAGUUAUAUGGUUAGAAGUCAAACAUGAGUGAUUGGUUAUAGGUGAUUGAAAUUCCCAACGCUACUGCAUUUAGUAAUUAAUGGCAAAACGAACUAAUUAGGUUCUUGGGUAUUUAUAUGGUUUGAACAACAAAAAAAAAGGUUAUUGGGUAUUUAUCUUACAGCUAAUAUAGAUGUUACUGGUUGUUUCUUGAACAAAUGAUUAAAUAUGCAAACAAAUCAAGUUUAUGAGUUUGAUAAUUCUUUUGAUUUUAUAAAGAAAUUAUUAAUUUAUUGACACGAUGUAUCUAUGUUGUGCCAUGUAUACCUUGGACCACCACGAAGUCAGACAAGAUCGCCUUAAAAGCUGCAUGAACCAAAAUAGAAAGUAUAUCAUAAUAUUAAACUGCUAAUUAGUACUAGUAUAAACAAUCAAUAAAGUAAAGUUUAAUAUAAAUUCACUGGCUAAACAGAUCUAGGACCACAUCUUAAGAGCUAUCUAGAAAUCCACCUUCUUUUAGCUGGUCGUAUUUAGAAUCAUUACCUAUAACAAGAUACUUGUCGACAUAUUUAUGGAUACACGUGUCCUAAACUCAUUAUUGAAAUGUGUACUAUAACGUGUUAAUGACAAGAUUUGUUUAGUUGCUAACCAUGUGGUUAAAGCACCUAACCGCGAUAUGGAAUGCAGAGUGACAGGUUGGAGUUCGAAAGAGGGAAAGAUAAAGGAGAGAGACUUUAUAAUAAUGUAUGUAAAUGUUUAUAUGUGGAAAGCUGAAAGCAUAUGACUUCGAUGACGGGAGUAAUGUUUGAAAGAAAUUUAUUUUUAGGAUCAUAUAAUUAAUAGGUUUUUAGUCGUGAAGAUUGUGUAGUUGUGAUUCAAUCUUCCUUCUUUUUUCUUUUUUUUUGAAGUCUUCAUUAGAAUUGAGUUAUAACGGACCGGUCCAGUAGCCAACAAUCGAUAUCAUACGAAGCUAUGUUCUCGGUUAUGGAGAAAAUUAUCCGAUUUUGAACUUGAAUUUUGGUGGAAUGGCAAUAGAGAUGGAGCACCACUGGCUCACUUUUUCAUUUCCACUGUGAUUCAAUCUUACCUAAGUAAAUUCGUAAUUUUAGAUUCCAAAUAGAAACAAUGCAAUCAUUAUGGGAUCAAAUGUAGUAAUAGAUUUAUUUAUUAUUUCUUUACUAGCUUAAACUUUCAAAAUAUAAAGAGAGGGAAUUAAAUAUAUCUUAGAUUACUACAACAUAAAUUGAAGACAAUUGAACAUAAAACAUAUUGAUCAUCAUGUAAGAUGAAUAUCGGAUUUGAGGCAAGACUCAAUUACGUCAGUAGAGACUUCACGGCAAAUUCGGAGAAUUUGAACUUAGUAUACAUUUUAAAUAGUCUAUAAAAUGUCUUAGAUAUUAAUUCUUAAGAGAUUGAUAUUUACUUUUGAGAAUCGUGUUUGUUUUUCCUGUUUGGAUAAAUUAAUUGUUUGAUUUAAGAUUAUUUAUAGUUAUAUACCAUUAAAAUAUUCAAGUAACCAAUUUUGAAAAUUAAAAAGUUAGGGGUUUAAAUAUAUUUACUAAGAUAUAUUGUGCCAUAUGUAGAUGCAGUUAUAAUUGAUGCUAAUUGUGAUCAUCUGUUUUAAUCAAGAAUAUUUCUUAAGAGUAUUUACGUGAUGCACACAAUAAUCUAUCUUUUAGAAUAUGUUCCAUUAGUCAACUGUCAUUUUGAGACAAAAAAAAAGAUGGAUUAUGGAUACAAGGAAACAUGUAAACAACAGCGUGCAAUUGUCGGCGUAAUCUUGACAGUUUCUCUAUUAAUCUACUUGAAUUAUCUAUCUAACCAAAUCAAUCAAUGUGUUCAAUUGAUAAUUUGAUUAAAUAAAGUGAUUUGGAUCUGUGGAAAAAUAGUGGUUAAAGAAGAGACGCUUAAUGAUUGUGGAAAAAUAAAAUGGUUGAGUUAAAACGAAUUAAAUAAUAGUUAUGAUAGUGGUCAAUAAUAAAUAAUUUAUUACAAAAAUAAAAUAAAAUUCUAAAAUAUAUUUUUUUAAAAAUGGUAAAUUAGAUUUUUUAUCCUCAAAAAUGGUAAAUUUUCUGCAAAACAGAGAAAAUGUGAAGGUUUGGAAAACACAAUAAAAAUAUGUUUUUUGAAAAUUCGUCAAUGCUCAAGUCAGAAAACAGUUCAAAAGACCAACAAAUGGCUAAUCGGAGAGCAGAAAAAAAUCGAAAAACUACAGAAUGAGAGUGGGCUGAGAGUCAUUGAGAAAGGUAGGAACUACUCGAGCUUUUUGCAGUGAAUAAAGAAAAAAAAAUAGUUUAAGGAAAAAGGAGAAAUGGCUGAAAAGCCAUGAGACUUAUAAAAUCUGUAUCUCACCUGAAAAUCUAUAUGCCACCAAAAUGUGGAAAAAUUAAUUAUAUCCUUAAUGAAGGGAUCCACUUGUUUUCUCCAAUUUUAUUAAAUAAAGAUAUAUAACAAAAAAUCGAUUUUAUUGAAAAAAUUGAAAUUAACCCAACCCGACCCAGACCCCCAGCUCCCUGUCCCGACAUUCAAUUUCCCCGACCAUUCCGACGAGACAAGAACUGCAUUUGUAAUCGGAAUUGCAUGCGUCUUCGCCAAAAUUUCUUGUUUUUGUAUGCACAUUAGGUGGAUUAGGUGUUUGCAUUUGUAAUUUCUAUAUUCUAGUUAUUGAAUCGAAAAGAUUUGUAGUAGAUUAGAAGUCCCAUUAGAGAACUAGAACUCCGACGUCAACCAAAUCUGCAAAUCUAGUACAAUCGGUACAAACAGGUAUAAUUGAGAGGUAUUUGACAACUAGUACAGACGAGUACAACUGAUAUAAAGAGGGCAACAGGUACAAUUGAGAGUAAUUGUGUAAUUGCUGAAUGCAUAAUUUGUUUUCUAUAAACAGGAGAAAAUGAGGAUGAUGGAGCUCCUAAUACACAUAGCGAGCCGAUGGAGGAUGAUGUUGAUGCAGGUUUUCAUAAUGUAUCAGGAGGAGAUGGUAAUAGUUAUGGCGUAUAUUUGGCAUUGGCGUAUGUUUGGCAUUGAAUGAUAACAGUAUGUAUGACUAUGUUUAGUUAUCAUGUUCUGUUGAAAAAAGUCAGUUUCUUGUAGAAUGGGAAGAUGGUGCGGGUAUUGUAGAAAGUCAAGAGUUUAGUUCAAAAGUGGUACUGUAAAAUUUGGUUGAGAGAGCUGCACAUAACAUACAGUUUUUCUUUUUCUGCUGUUUGGUGUAAUUGUUAAUGGAGUAUUUUUAUUAUAAUUCGAGAAGACAAUAAACAUAGCCACACAGACAUACAUUUUGAUUAGCCUUACCGCCAAAUUACACUAAAAAAAUAGGGAAAAAAUAUUUUAAAAAUGGUUUACAUGCACUUUGAUUAGCCUUCCACGUCUCUAAUGUAUUUUUCUAUUCUUAAAAUACAAACAAUUCAGUUUGUAUUUGUAUAUAUAUUUAUAUUUUAUUUGGUACUACUGGAUUCCUAUGGUUCAACUACUUGUAAUCACCUUAAGAAAAAAUAAUAAUAAUAUAAUUAUAUUAUACAAAUAUGCAAAAAUAUGAAGAAAUCAUCCAUCUAAGAACUCUAAACACAUAUACAAGUAUAAGGAAACAAUUAAAAAUAUGAAUAACAAGAAUUCAACAUAUAUUCUUUAUUCAUGUUCACAUAAAACAACACCUUAUAGUAGAAGGAAGACUUUGGUAAUGUUUACCAUUUUAUGAUGAAAAAAACAAAAUACAUGAUUUUGCACGAUUUUUACUAUGAAAACCUUCUAAAUGACCAUUAAACCUUUAAAAUCAUGUAGACUACCACAAUGUAAUCAUUUAUAUAAAGGUACAACUAUAAAAACUCUAAAAUCAUGAAAAGUACACCUAUGAGGAAAAAUAGUACUACGAGACACGUUGGGACAACUACGUACAAAAUUGACGGCGCACAUGUUCAUUUAUGUCAGCACACGUGUACUCUUUUUAUUAAUUUUAAUUUAAUUUAUACUAGUUGUACCAAGUUGUCAUAGUUGUACAUAAAUCCAUUUUUACUUCAAAGUACCUAAAAUCAAAAACAAACUAAUAUUCAUAUAAUCCAAAGUAAAAGCAGUAUUUAUACCAAAAUACAUCAUAAAGACCCUACAUUGAAGAGUCUGUUUCAAGUUUUUUUUUCAUUAGCAUAAAACAAUGUAUUUGAGCUACCAUGAAAGCUAAACCGAGAAAAAUUGACAGGUUUUCAACGUAUAUCAUACAACAAGAAGAAGACUUAAUUUUUCUUUGCUGAUGCAUGAUCUUACCAGUUGUUCUUGUUCCAGUUGUCCGACACUCGUCUAUCUACGUUCUAAACCUCUUCUCCUUACUCCUCUCCUUCCUCCUUUACUUUCUCCUUUACUUCCUCCUUUCUACACUUUCUUCUGGGUUGUGCUUAUGUGGAUUCUUCUUCUUUUCUGGCUGUGGCAUUGACUGCUUCUUCUUUUAUGGUUGUGUUACAUGUCGCUUCUUAUUCUUCUCGGGAAUGGGAUUCGUUGGUGACUGUUUCUUCUGCCAUUAGAUUACCCUCUUAUGUUUCUUCUUCUCGGCAUGCGUUGCCGGUGGUUGCUUCUUCUUCUAUGGCUACGUUACACUCUUCUGUCGCUGCUUUUUUUUCUCGGCAUGUGUCGGUGACGGGUGACGAGUGUUUCUAGGAUGACUUCUGUCGACUUGUAAACAACAUUUCCUUUCUUAACCUUCACGCAUAAGGGGAACGACGGGCAGUGAGCAAGAUGAUACAUCACAGAAUUAAAAAGGGAUGGUGAUGAGCAAGAUGACACGAGGAACUGCGUUGAGCAAGACGAGACGAAAAAGAAUCGAAAGGAAGAUGAAGGAUUGUGAAAUGGGAUGGGACUUGAGUGCCAUGAACGGAAACAAUUUCGGUGAGACUCUGGGCAUACGUAGUUAGGUACAACUAGGUACAACUUGGUACAACAAGGUACGAUUUGGGAUUUAACUGCUACCUUAACCGUAUUUAGGAUAAAUCGAAUAUCUGGGUUGCUAGUCAGGUCAUCGGGUGGGUAUUUGGGUCAUACCGUUUGGAUGGGUAAAAGGUAGGUUUUUUUGUAAUUCUUUUAAAGUCUGAGGAGUGUUAAGGUUUUUGUUUUCAGUUUUUCCAUCUAUUUUCAAACUAAAAGAAAAUGAAAAGAAAUUAUUUAUUAUAACAGUAGCAUACGAGAUCAAUUUUUGAGAGAUUGUGCCUUUCUAGCCAUUUCCCCGAGGAAAAAUGAAGUGGAGUGACCGAAAAUGUGGUCGAAAAAGUGUUGAGUGCCUGGACUCAAGAACCACAAGUAUCUAGAGAGAUAUCGUGAGACCUAAGAUGGUUAAAGAUGUGUACGUCUUUCCUGUGGGAAAGAGUAAAGUAUUUAUAUAAAGUACUUGAUCCGGGCUAGUAUAUCGGAUUGACUCACGGAUAAUGAUUCGGGUGAAUCGGUCCAUGAGCCGAGUUGACUGGGUUCGAAUCUUGUGAUGGUGUCAUGCUUCUGACGGUCUCACCAACUAUCUUUGGCGUGUUCUGCCUGCUGCGAGACCGUUUAUUUGCGCAUCCCUUUUGUCUUUAGUGUACGAGUCAGAUCGGCGGUUUAGACGAGGUAUAGGGCUUUGCUGAACCUCUGAUUUUCCUCUUGGCUCCUGCGAAAAGUUACUGUCAUGUGACACACAUAAGGUAGAUGCAUUAAAUGCCAAUCUCAUGGGUUUGUAAUGGUAUGGAUAACCAAAUCAGAGUAAGGCAUAUUCUUUCUACGGAAUGGAGGAAAUUUUGAAUAGUGUUCCCGCCUAAAAAGUCUAUUUAUACCUGGUCCGGUUCCCUCGAUAUUGGGACCGGGCUGUCGAGAAUGGAUGACUUUGCUUUCCGUGUAUCUGUACGACCAUACUUUUUAUAUCUCAAACCCUUCUAGAUCACUCAGCUUAAAUUAAGGACAUAGAGAAUGUGGUCUCUCAUCUUCUUGACCAUUCAGUUUCCAACUUCUUUGUUACACGAAGAGUUUGAAAACAGGUGGUUUUUUUGUAUCAGAUCUCCCGAAUCCAAAUGAAUUCGAGCUCUGGUGCUAAAAGCUUAGAUCUAAUAUAUGUCCUAAUUUAAUCUAGGAAUACCAUACCUGCAAAAAAUCAAGCACAGCAUUCAUCUACAUAGGAAAAAUUGAAUUGAUCUCAUAUACAUUUAUCUAUUUUUGAACGAUUUAUAACCACUUCAUAUUAUAUUUUAACUGCAUUUUUCAAUUACCUAUUUGAAUUAUCCAUUUCAAGUGGCCAUUUCUAUUGUCCAUUUCAUCAAUUUGUUCUACUAAUAACCGAAUUAGCAAUUUAACCUCCAACCAUUUUAGACUACUUACCAAUUAAAACUAGUAUAUUAGUCUUAGUAUGUUAGUCUCAUCAACUAUGUUUAUGGAUUUCACCUAUUAUAUUUAAAUUUCUAAUCAAUUAAUAUGAUUUUACGAGAUUAUGCAGUCUUUGCGUGAUUAAUCUCACUCUAUAAAUUUACCUUUGAUUAUCCUAUCAUGCCGAAUAAGGGUACUUAAUAAAGCUUGUAUUAGAACUUUUGAUUUUAUGAAUCAAAAACAGAGUUUGUAAUACUAAAAUGGUAACCAAUUAAGAAAUUUUCUUAUUACUUUUUUUUUAUAGUAUCGGUUCGAUUGUUAAUUGAGGUUUUACUCCAUCACCUCUUAAAAUCGAACUCAAAUUAAGGAGUAUGAAUUAUAUUUUAGUCAAACAUUGAUUUUUGGUCAGAUAAAGUAAAAUGAACUUUUUAUAUAUAGUAAUUUAACUGAACGAGCUGACGAUACUUCUUUUAAUUUUUGUUGCCAACUCUUUGUAUAAAUUUGUGUAAUUUAUGAACGCUUGUUGACUUAUUGUAAAUAGAACUUGCUGAUACUUUGUGUAUAUUCAUAGUAACAUAAGUUUGUCAUGGCUUAACGAGUAAGAAAAUGUCUCGAAAUAGAAUAGGUGAAAUCAAUUUUGCCUAAAGAACAACUAAAGCGUGCAAAAAGUAAUCAGCUUUUAGCGUUUAAAAAUGAAAAAGAAGCUAACCAUGAUUUUAUCUUUAUAUCAUUUUUAACUUCUAGAACAAAUUAUCAUCAACAUUUUGCCUCUUUUGUUUUACGUUCAUACAGACAACAAAUUUAUAUUAUAUCAACACUAUUCGAUAAAAUUAUAUAUUUUAAUAAUUUGAAGUCGUGCAAUUUUUUUCUACUAUUGUUUUUGGUUUCCUUACCCUAAUACAAACGUCUACAUGUGGUCUAAAAAAAAAUCCAUCUGAAAAUUUUGGAACACAUAUAUUACCAGAAAAUCAUGAUUCAGGUCUAGGUUUUUAAUUUUUUUCAUUAAUGACGGUAUUUACAGAUAACAUAUUUCAAUUUUCCUAGUUGAUGAGGUUUAAUAAUAGUCUGAAAAUUCGAUAUUAAGUUUUUUUGCCAAAAAAAAACUCGGUAAUAAGGUGAUUCGUAUGAAUAAUGAAUAUGCAUAUACUACUAUUCGACAUGGUGCAUAUAUUUAUAUUUUAUCUUUUAAUUAUACAAUACAAAUUAUUUCCCAAAUGAGUAUAAAAAAAACUAAUAAACGAAAAAUAACUGUUUCAAAGCAUUUAAGAAAUGAGUAUUACAUAGUUCCAAAAUAUUAUCAUAUUUUAUUAUCAUAUUUUUCUUUUCAUCUAUGUCCUUUUUCCUUUUUUUUUCAUCUAUGCCAUUUUUCCUCUGACAUACAAAACGUGGAUUAUCGGCAUCACGACCCGGGUCAUUGACACGUGUCCUUAUCGGAAUAACCCCAAUUAGGGCAAAACGUUGAAAGUUGAAACUCACAUGCUUUCGUCGUUCGACUCAUUUCUCAAUUGGGGAAUCUCUAAAGGCAUACGUAAACCAUUUCUUUUAAACUUUCCCGAUUCAUAAUCCAACCAAAUUCAAUUAAUUUGGUAAAGAUUCUCAUCAGAGACGCAACGUUUUUAAUACUAUUAGUUCUUCAUCUUAAUACAAAAAAAACAAAAAACAAAAUCAAAUUAAGGUAACCGAUAUUAUUGAUAAGUUUUGCCUGUUUAUCUCUAAUUAAUAAUUAGCCAUUCUUGCUUUUCUAGUUGUAAUGAGUAUACAAUUAGCCAUUCUUGUUGCAUGUAUAACUAACGAACACGUCAUUUUUGCAGUUAAGAUAUAUGAAUGAGUCAUGUAAUUUUCAUGUCUUUUCUAAAUUAUAUCUUGUAGUCCAUAUCUUAAACCAGCUAUUUAAUGUGUUCCUAAGUUUUAGUUAUCGUAAUGUAGAACUCGUAGCUUCUAAGAAUAAUCAUGCUUAAGAAAAAAAAUGCAAUAUAUUUUAUUAAAUUGUCAGAAAAUAAUUGGAAUGAAAAAAGAGGAAACAAUAUGCAGUGAUUAAAGUUGUCGGUUGAACCGGUAAAAAAUUUCUAAUCUUUCCAAAACAAUAUACCAAACCGAAUUUCUGACCUUAAGGAAAAAAGAAAAUAAAUACGUACAUGGCGGCUAUUGCUAAAACCGACGUGAUUGGUCAAGAGAAAGUGCUCGAACUAAAGAUCAGAACCACGUGCACGAAUGGGAGAGGAGGUCUAACUGCGAAUCCGUGGAAUCGAGACACGUGGUCAAAUCCAUGUGCAUUCCUUAUCAUCCUUUCCCUUUCAUUGGCGUGGAGCGAUCGAGUACCAAAAGAAGUCAAGAAUAUUAUUGAUUUUUUAAUAAAUAAAUUCUAUUAAAUAUUAGAUUGUUUCUUGUUUUAAUAGAUAAAAUAACUUUAUUGAAGAUCUUUUCUUAUCAUUUGUUACAAUUAAUAUAGCCCAACGUUUUUGUAUGCGUUCUUAGUUCUCAACUUCUCAUGAUCUUUUUUAAUAUUAUUUCAAUUCAAUAGUUGACAAAGUUUUGAUAAAUGCUUCAAAUGACACAGCUUGGUUGGAAAAAAACACCCAACGACAAAUUGACCGGCAAACAUAUAUAAGGCGAAAGAAAGCUGAUGAUAAACGAUAGAAUGUCAUGUGACACCAACCAAAUGAGAAAAAACAUGCUACGUAAAGUUAUUAAUUAAUCAAAGCUCUAAUUUAUAACAUUCAAAAUAGCAUAACGUUUAAAACUUAAAGUACUAACAGAAUGAUUUAAAAGCUUGACUAAAAUGCUAACAUAUUACAUAUAGUACUUUUAUAUAUUUAAAUGUUACAAAUCAUUGAAUGAACGAAUAUAAACCGUAAUUGGCACCAAAAAAAAAGUCAUUGGUGAAAAUAUGCGGAUUUUUCGAAAAUUAAUACUCCCUCCGUUUCACAAAGAGUGUCGUUUUAAGGUUUUAUUUUUGUUUCACAAAGAGUGUCGUUUUAUAUUUUCAAUGCAGAAUUUUAAACAAUAUUCCAGUUUUGACCCUAUUGAUUUAAUAUUAGAGAAAAAUGUUAUUUAAUGCAUUAAUAAAAGGCAAAGUAAUAUUUUUAAUAGUUUUCUUAAUAAGUGUGAAAAAUGUUAGAAUGAUAAUUUUUGUGAAACGGAGGGAGUAAUUAUACAUUUUAUAUUUAUGUUACAAAUUUUAUAUUUAAUUCUUCAAAUCUUUUAAUAUUUGUAUAUGGAUUUCAUCAUAGCAAAACAUAUGAACACAUGAAAAAACCCUUAAUUAAUAUCACAUAACACGUGAAAACAUGUGGAUCUUUUAUGCACUUGUUGCUUUGUUAGUAUGUUUUUCCUUCUCUUUUGGAAGUAAUUUCUCCUCUUUUCAUUGAUGUUGAGACCGUUUAAUUUAAUGAGAGAAUCAGAUGUUGACCCCAAAAAGAAUCUCACAGAGCAAGUGAGAGAAAGAAAAAAAACUUUCACAAAGAAAUUAUAACGAACUCUAUCGAUACAAUUAUAUGUAUUUUGUUGUAUAUGAAUUUUGUCACACAAGUGUUUUGUAGCAAUUUUGUCACACAAGUAUUUUCGUACAUUUUCUAUAUAAAAGUGUUUUUUUACCGGAUAAGUGUUGUGUAUCUUGAUAAAGUUUUCCUUCAAAUUGAAGGAAAGAAGAGUUACUGAAAACUCUUUCACCUCGACUAAGAUAGCGAUAAUACAGACCUAAUUAAUUAAAUAACUUUGAGCAUUUUUUUCCUUACAUAGAAAUUUUGUUAUGCAGAAGUGUUUUGUUAUGGAGAGUGGAAGUGAGAAAAGUGUAACAGAAUAGAGACAAAUCAAGUCCAAAAGCAGGCACACAUCUAAGAAGAAAGAGGAGACAAAGGCAUGACAACAGUUAUGAUUCCUUUGUUCUUUUCUAUUCGAAUAUUCCUCCACACCCCCCCCCCCCCAAAACGCUCGUCUUCUUCGCGUUUUAUUUGACACGUUUCAUUAUAUGAUUUUUUAUAUAUAUAUAGUAAUAAAAUCUAUGCGUUUGAUACAAACUAAAGUACAUACAUUAAUGAUCUUUACACUUCUUUACCUUUAUUUACUUAAUCAUUAAUUUUUUAGAAAAAAUGUAUAUUGAAAAUUAAACAUAUAAUAUGAAACUGAAUACCAUUCUACUAAUUAGUAGUAAUUUGAUUUGGUUCAAAAGUAACGGAUAAAACAAGUUGAAUAGUGUUAUAAACAAAUGGACUUCUAGUAACCGGCCAUGAGACAUUAACCUGAUGGUUAAUGGGCCCAUUAGGGUUUCUGAUACAUUAGUUAUGUAAUGUAUAUAUACACUGCUUAUGGAAACCAUAAGAUGAGAGUUUUUUCCCUUAAUACGUUAUCAGCACGAAGCUCAACUUCAAACGAUCAUAUCUCUCAAAAUACAAAGAGUUAGAAGGCGAUCUACAUAUCAUUUUGAAGCCCUGGAAGAGAAGAAUCUAGUGGUGAAAACCGCUCCUCAAUCCGACACCAGACGCGCCCUCACGACUCAAAACAAUCGGCGCUGUCCCACCUUAGCGGGUGAUUCUUUCCAAGCGGUGGUUCCUCCAUUGUAGCAGCUGCUCGUCCUCCCUUCUGGCCAUCAUUCUCAGGAGUUUCCAGUAGAUAUCUGUGGUCUUUAGCUCCCAGAUCAUAAGCCGGUCAGAAAUCCAUUUGGCGAAAAGAUAUGCAAGACAAUAUGGAUAUCAUUGUGGAUAGUGGAUCGAGCCACACCAUUCUAAAAGACAAGAAUUACAUCAUAAAUUUAGUAAUCAAAACCGCAAACAUUAGCACUAUAGCGGGUAGUUCGAGCCUAAUAGAGGGCCAUGGCCAAGCUAAUGUGUUGUUAUCAAAUGGCACAUAUCUAGACAUCUCUGAUGCCUUAUACUCACCCAGUUCUAAGAGAAACCUAUUGAGUUUCAAAGACAUAAGAUUGAAUGGUUUCCAUAUCGAAACUCAGGAUGAAGGGAACAAAGAGUUUUUAAUUAUCACUAAAAUGAUAAAUGGCCAUAAACAAGUUUUUGAAACUAUACCCGCCGUAUCUACUGGCAUUUACCAUGCUAAAGUCAGUAUGAUUGAGGCUAAUGCUGCUAUCAAAGCACGGUUUUUAGAUUACACUAUUUGGCAUGAUCGCCUGGGUCAUCCCGGUGCGAACAUGAUGCGUAAAUUAGUCCAGAAUUCUAAAGGGCACAGCCUUAAACCAAAUGGUAUUUUCCCUCAGCACCUCAAGUGCACAGCUUGCUCAAAAGGGAAACUGAUUACCCGACCUUCACCAGUCAAAGUGUCUAAAGAGACCUUGAACUUUCUGGAAAGAAUCCAAGGAGACAUAUGUGGACCAAUUCACCCACCUUGUGGGACAUUCAGAUAUUUCAUGGUCCUCAUUGACGCAUCGACCCGCUGGUCGCAUGUCUGUCUGCUCUCUUCUAGGAACCAGGCUUUUGCUAGGUUAUUGGCCCAAAUCAUCAGAUUACGAGCACAUUUUCCAGACUUCCCAUUAAAGACUAUACGUCUUGAUAAUGCUGGUGAAUUCACUUCCCAAGCGUUUAAUGAAUAUUGUAUGUCCAUGGGGGUAAAUGUUGAACAUCCCGUUCCACAUGUCCAUACACAAAAUGGAUUAGCUGAAUCCUUCAUUAAACGAAUUCAAUGGGUUGCUAGACCAUUACUCAUGAGGUCACAACUCCCGGUCUCAGCUUGGGGACACGCAGUCUUACAUGCCGCUGAACUAAUACACAUACGACCAUCUAGUGAGCACAAAUAUUCACCAUCCUAAUUGCUAACGGGUCAUGAGCCAGACGUCUCCCAUAUUAAAACAUUUGGGUGUUCAGUCUAUGUACCCAUUGCACCACCACAGAGGACUAAAAUGGGACCUCAAAGGAGGAUGGGAAUAUAUGUUGGUUUUGAUUCUCCCACCAUCAUAAAAUAUCUCGAGCCAACUACAGGAGAUCUGUUUAAAGCCAGAUAUGCAGAUUGCCGAUUUGAUGAAUCGGUAUAUCCUAGAUUAGGUGGUGAGACAGACAAGCUGGUAAAAGAACUUUCAUGGAAUCAAACAUCCACACAAUGGCAAGAUCCUCGGACUCUAGAAUGUGAUUCAGAGGUCCAAAGAAUUAUACAUUUACAAAAGCUAGCUAAUCAAUUGCCAGAUUCCUUUGCUGACCCGAACAAAGUUACCAAAUCGUACAUACCAGCUUGUAAUGCACCAGUACGAAUAGAUGUCCCCUCAGGAAAAAGUCAAGUUGCUACAGAGUCUGACGCGCGUAAGAAACAUGGCAGACCACCAGGUUCCAAAGAUAAGAAUCCCCGGAAAUCAAAGAAAGGUGCAAUGAUUGAAACCGGGAUUCAAGAGAACACGGAUACAGCCUCAGCUGAUACUUACCCUAUCGAACCAUCCCAAGAGGUUUGGGACGCCAAAACUCAAGGUUCUGAAGGGAUUGAUAAUAAUGAGAUCUCAAUCAAUUAUAUCAUAUUUGGUUCUCUAUGGAACAGAAAAGAUGUCGACAUCAAUGAAACUUUUGCAUACAAGGUAGCACUUGAGAUUGCGCACACGCAAGAGGAUCUAGAACCCAUGUCUAUAAUUGAGUGCACUCGUAGAUCAGAUUGGAUGAAAUGGAAAGAAGCCAUAAACGUGGAGUUGAAUAGUUUAAAGAAACGGAAUGUGUUUGGUCCGAUCUUAAGGACACCAUUCGAUGUUAAACCAGUGGGAAACAAAUGGGUCUUUGUGCGUAAAAGAAACGAACUCGGCGAAGUCGUUAGAUACAAGGCACGCCUUGUAGCACAAGGAUUCUCACAGAGACCCGGAAUCGAUUAUGAGGAGACUUAUUCUCCAGUGGUGGAUGCAACUACAUUUCGAUUCCUCAUAAGUCUGGCCAUAAGAGAAAACUUAGAUUUGCGGUUAAUGGAUGUUGUAACCGCAUAUCUUUAUGGACCACUGGACAGUGAAAUCUAUAUGAGAUUACCAGAUGGUAUUGAGCUCAAAGAUAAGCAUGCAUCUCGUGAUAAACACUGCAUUAGGCUGAACAAAUCCUUAUAUGGACUGAAACAAAGCGGACGUAUGUGGUAUAACCGGUUAAGCGAAUAUCUCAUCAGAGAAGGCUACGAAAAUGAUCCGAUCAGUCCAUGCAUCUUCAUCAGAAAAUAUCAAAACAAAGGAUUUGUAAUCAUAGCAGUAUACGUGGAUGACUUGAACAUCCUCGGAACAUCUGGUGAAAUCGCCCAAACAGUUGAAUGCUUAAAAGCAGAGUUUGAAAUGAAAGACCUAGGCAAAACUAAAUUCUGUUUGGGAUUACAACUUGAGUACGUCAAUGACGGAAUCCUUGUGCAUCAAUUGGCAUACACUGAAAAGGUACUCAAGAGAUUCAAUAUGGACCAGGCCCACCCAUUGACCAGCCCAAUGGUUGUGAGGAGCCUUGGAUUGGAUAGUGAUCCAUACGGUCCAAAGAAAGACGAUGAAGAAAUCCUCGGUCCUGAAAUGCCAUACCUCAGUGCCAUAGGAGCAUUAAUGUACUUGGCUAGUUACACUAGACCAGACAUCUGCUUUGCCGUGAGCCUCUUAGCUCGCUUUAGUUCGUGUCCAACUCAAAGGCACUGGAACGGUAUUAAGCACAUCCUUAGAUACCUUCAAGGUACUAAGGACUUGGGAUUAUUUUAUUUUAACCAUAACAAGGAUGGUCUAGUUGGUUUUGCUGAUGCAGGAUAUUUGUCAGAUCCGCACUGUGCCCGGUCUCAAACCGGUUAUGUUUUCACGCAUGGAGGAACAGCCAUAUCUUGGAGAUCCAUGAAGCAGACUAUUGCCGCUACCUCAUCCAACCAUGCGGAAAUCUUGGCCAUUCACGAAGCUAGUAGAGAGUGUGUUUGGUUGCGGUCCAUGACUCAGCAUAUCCGAUCAGAUUGUGGUAUGGACGAAGAUAAGGAGCCUAUGGUGAUGUAUGAAGACAAUGCAGCUUGUAUCGCUCAACUCAAGGACGGCUACAUCAAAGGUGACCGGACGAAGCAUAUUCUGCCCAAAAUCUUCUUCACUCAUGAGCUACAGAAGGAUGGUCAGGUCAAGGUUCAGCAAGUCCGAUCAAGCGAAAAUUCAGCCGAUCUAUUCACUAAAUCAUUACCGACUUCUACACUCCGGAAGCUCAUUCAUCAGAUAGGAAUGCGUAGACUUAGAGAUCUACAGUGAUGCCUAAACCAGGGGGAGUAAUGCGUGUUGUACUCUUUUUCUUUCACCAUGGUUUUUCCAACUGAGUUUUCCUGGUAAGGUUUUAAUGAGGCAACGUUCCCCAUUGCAUUAUAGAGAUCCCGGUUUUGUGACAGGCAAGGUUACCUUGUCCAAGGGGGAGUGUUAUAAACAAAUGGACUUCUAGUAACCGGCCCAUUAACCAUCAGGUUAAUGUCUCAUGGCCCAUUAGGGUUUCUGAUACAUUAGUUAUGUAAUGUAUAUAUACACUGCUUAUGGAAACCAUAAGAUGAGAGUUUUUUCCCUUAAUAAGUAGUAAUUUUUAUCUGUUAAUAUUUGUUAUUUUUUUGUAUUGUUGGAGGUGAAAACCCCACCCCGGUUUUCUCCGGUACAAACCGAGAUCGGCGUAACGUAAGCCCGGUUCACGAAGGAAUGUACCGGGAAAACUGGGCCAAGUAAAGUCUUGGGCCGAACGCAGCCCAUUAGGCCGAGGUCGGCGAGAAGCUUCUCGAAGGAACCGAGAAGUUCCCCGAGUUCGGUCGAGAAUAAGAAAGUUUCCCAAUGAAAAAAGGAAACUACUAUGAGAAAAGGAAAAUGACCUAGAGAAAAGGAAAGUCCUCUCGGUCCCAUAUCGCCGAAGAUGUACUUGGUGACCGACUCAGAAUAUAUAUAUAAAGGAAGAUGAAUCGACACCAGAAGGACACAAGAUAUUCCAGAGAAGACUUAGAGACUGAGAACUCAUCACUUUAGAUUCUUAGUUUCAUAAAGUCUUAGUUCGUUAUUCUCUGCGUAAUAACCGAACUCAGUUGUAUUUUUUCGAUUCAAUCUAAUAAAACCCGAGUUAACCGAUCUAAAAUACUGUUUUGUCCUUUGUCGAUAUUCACUUAUCAACAUGUAUUAUAUAUACAUAGAUAUAUUUAAGCAUUUUUGCAUAUAGUUAAAUUAUAUUCUUUUAAUCUACUUUGCGAACGUCAGAUAAUGGCUUUUCUAAGGCUGAUAUUAAACGAGUACUUUCAAAUUUUUUUUUUUUUUAUUAUAUUGAAAUUUUUCGGACCGAAAUCAAACCAACUUUUGAGACAUUUCUGAUUGUCAACCAUCUAAUAACAUUCAAACUCUAAUCUAGUUUCCUAUCAAGAAUCUUCAAAUCUCUGAACAACCAUUGCUUAUUAAAAACAAUUAUGUUGAUACUUACAAAAAUAGUUUCUUUUUUCCAAGAUACUAAAAAAAGUUAUAACUAACACAUUGCUUCCAAACCUCAAAGUUCUUUGACCAUACAUUAUCUUUGAGAGAUGGACAUGUUAUUCUCCUAGUUUAGAGAUUCAAAAUUUUACAGAGUCCAAAUCUACAAGCAAUUAAAACUUCAAAUAACCCCUCAAAUUAAACGACGAUAAUUAUCAACCAAUGAGUUUAAACAAAUAUAAUACUAUGUUGAAACUGACCUCCAGACUCCAUUCUACACAUUCUAAGUCCUCAAAACAAUCUUUAUUUUUCUACAAUAUACCGAUCCCAAGACUGUCAGUCUUCGGCCUUUGUUUACAUUGGAUAAGUAAAUACUAAAGCCUAUCUGAAAUUUUUUUAAAAAAAUUCACUAUCUAAUUAAUUUGGAUUAAGCAAAUUUAUAUCGACAAAAUUAAUAUUUUUUAAGAAAAAGACAUGUUUUUCAUAUUCAUGAUAUAUAUUUUUUUUUUUUACCGAAUUUGAAUUUGAACUAAUAUCAUAUGCAUGUAUGUUUGGGGUUUUGUUAAAGUUAUCUCGUAAUUAGUAAACUAAUAGUUUGAAAUUAAGAGUGAGUAAAAAAGUAUUAAUAUACUGGAGAGGAGAUGAGAUAUGAAAGUAAAAGUAAACAACCUUUUGAAAGACAAGUCACUAGUGUUUUCUCUUACAGUUUGUUGCUGAGACUUAUCCAUAUGAUAUGUUGAUAACGACUUCUUCUAAUCCUCUCAUCACACGUAAAACCUUUAUCGCAUGUAAUAUACAUUCAAAAUUAUUUAAAAUUGGAAAAAAAAACAUAUGAAUUUAGAUGAACUAGCUGAAUUACUAUAUAUGCCAUAAUACAAAGUAGUAGUACCUUAACAAUAAUUAGGUGAGUCUUAGUUCCAAUUGACCCAACAUCGACUAAUUUAAAAUGCAACGUAUUUGGUUCAAAAAAAAGUUACGUAUUUUAGUCUUUUUUAUUAGAAAAAGAAUACAUUUUUAAAAAAAUUCUGAUUAGUAUUUUAAAGUAUAUGUCUUGAUCUACUUACGAAAUUAGAAACAAAGAUUUUUUAAUUUUUUGUUGGGAUUAAAAUUAGAGAGAAAGUUAUGGUCUUAUUAAUUCUAACUGGGAGUUAUUGAUUUUAGUCUUUCUUUAUUAUGCUUUCACAUGUGUUCGAUGAAAUGAUAUUUGUCAAGUUAACAAAGUCAUGUCUUCACAACAUGAAACAAUAUUAAAGAUAGUGAUGUAUAUGUUUUCAUCUUUUCCCAUUGCAACAAUAUAUUAAAUAUGACUUUAAAAAUUAGGAUGUGUUAAUAUCCAAAGUUGCAAUUAUGUAAUAUCAAGGAAUCAUAAAGCCCAAACCCAAAAAUAAAUAAAUUUAAUCAAGCCAUCCCUUGACACCUACUCCUCCUUUAUAAAUGAUAAGUCCUCUGCUUCUCCCAACACAUCUUUUCCUCAUUGCAGAAAAAAAGUGAGACAAACAAAAAACAUUAAUCUUCAAUCUAAGAGAGAGAGAAGAAGAAGAUUUAGAGAGAGAACAAGAAACAUGAAUAACCAGAAUGUAAACGAUCAUAAUCUCCUCAUCAUUUCUCAGAUGUAUCCUAGUGUCUAUACUUCAUCAGUACCACAACAAGGUUUGCCCAUUCUAAAGUUUCAAUCUUUUUCAUUUCUUUUUAAGAACUAGAAGGAAAAAUAAUACCCAAAAUUGGUUAUACAAAUAUCUUCAAGUGGGUCUUCUUUAUUUUUGUUGAUAAUAAGUUUGCCUUAUUUUAGUCUUUUUCACAAACGUGCAUGGUACUAAUUAAGAAAGCUUAAAGAGUUAGACUUAAGUCAUUUUGGUAGGUUAAAAGUGUUAGUUUUGAUUGGUUUCAAUUUUGCCAGCAGGAGAAUCGAAACCAGUACGGCCUAGGAGGAGGAGGAAGAGCAAAAGUGUUGCAGCGACAGAAGGAGGUGGAGAUGGAAGCAAUGGGUGGUUUAGGAAGAGGAAAUUAAGUGAUGAGCAAGUGAGAUUCCUGGAGAUGAGUUUCGGAGAUGAGCAUAAGCUUGAAUCGGAGAGGAAAGAUCGUCUUGCUUCGGAAUUAGGGCUUGAUCCUCGUCAAGUCGCCGUAUGGUUCCAGAACCGCCGUGCACGGUGGAAGAACAAGAGUCUUGAAGACGAAUACACUAAACUCAAGAACGCACACGAAAACGUCGUCGUUGAGAAGUGUCGUCUGGAUUCUGAGGUGCGUGAUAGUCUCUCUCUUUCUAAAAAGAAUAAAUUAUCUGAUUAUAAUCUAUUAAUAUCUAUGACAUAUAUGUUUUAAGUUUGAACAAUGUUUUUUUUUUUUUUUGUGUACCAUCAACGUUUUAACAAUUUUUUCGCUGAUUAAAGAUAACGAUUACUCGGUUUUCUCUUUCAUUAAAAGAUUUGUAUACUUGUAAACAUGAAAUAUUAAAUGUUUAACUUGAAGAAAUUGGUUAUUCUCUCUCUCUCUCUCUCUCUCUCUCUCUCUCUCUCUCUCUCUCUCUUUCUAUAUAUAUAUAUAUGAAAAAGUUAUACUUUAUUAAUUUUAUAUACUUUCAAAAGACAAAGGAAAUACCAAGUGAAAUCAACAUACAUUAUAGGCAACUGAGGAAAAAACAACAAUAAUCGAAAUAUUGAAUUUAAACUUUUUAUGUCACCUCAAUAGCAUGAUUAAAAAGAAAUUAUAGUGUGAUUUGUAUUUGUUAUUAAAAAGACACAAACACAUAAAAAAAACCGCAAAAAACAAAAUGUCAAUGUGUGUAUAUGUAACUUAUCUUUCCGUACAAUCUUCAUUUGUUUUCUAGUGUUUACACUUGCCUCGUAGUCAUUGGGCCUAUAAUCACCAGACCCACAGAAUAAAACUCAUCAAAUCAAAGUCAUAAAACAGGAUUAGCUAUUAAUAGUAAAUAAAUUGAUUUAUUAAUCACAUCAAAUAUAAGUUUUAGAUUCUUAUUUUAACUUUUUUUCUAAUUUCAGGUUCUUCAUUUGAAAGAACAACUCCAUGAUGCUGAAAGAGAGAUUCAACGGUUGGCACAAAGAGUCGAAGGAGUUUCAAGCAACAGUCCAAUCUCAUCAUGUGUCUCUAUCGAAGCCAAUCAAACGACACCGUUUUUUGGAGAUUACGAAAUAGGAGACGACGGUGACGGUUAUGAAAAUUUGUUGUACUCGCCGGACUACAUUGAUGGAUUAGAAUGGAUGAGCCAAUUUAUGUGAAGACAAACUAGCUAGCUUAAUUAAUAAUAACGUUAUGAGUAUAUUGAUCGUAAAAUGUUAGGGCUAUUUGCGAUUACUAGAUUAUUCAUAUGAUCGAUAUCUAUGAUGACGCAGAAUGUAGAUAGAACUAUGGGUCUAAUUCGCUUGUGUAAUAUUGUGGAUAUCUUUCUCCAAACAUUUGAUUGCUUAACCAGUUAGGUCUAAAGCAGCUUUACUUUGUUUGAUGUAAAGGUCAAGUUUGGACCCCAAAAGUAUUAAUUAAUCGUAAGUUGUUAAUUACAUGUAAAUUGUGAUUUGUCUUUCUAGGGUAUGCUGUUAUCCAUAAAACUAUUUAGCAUUAAUAUUGUCCCGGGCAAAUAUAAAAUAUUUGAAGAUAAAACCUUAGUAAAAUUUAUCCUCGAACUUUAUACUGUAUGUGAACAUGUGAUCAAACCACACACACACAUAUAUAUAUAUAUAUAUAGGCUAAACAAUAACAGAACAAAUCAUUAAUUAAGACAUACAAACUAAACUCUAAUUUAUUAUCCAGAGAAAAAUUACCAAUUAAAAAAGUCUAACCAACAAAGUAAAAAAAAAAAAUUGAAAAAAAAAUCUUCAUUAGAAGCAACAGACCACAACCAUUCAAAAACCCGUAUAACCACAUAUUUGACGAUGAAUGACGAAUAUUUUCUUCUUUUUUUCUAAGAGCUUUCCGUAAAACUAUUAUAGAUUAGUGAUAGAUUUAGCUAAGGAGUAAAGAUUGCGUUUUUCAUUAGUUUUAGUCACAUAAUUUCAAUGAACGAGAGGAUAUUUUUUUGCCGUGUGCAGUAAACAACUAUCAAUUGGCAAAUUUAUAUUUACAUAUCAUACGUUUUACUGUGAUAGUGUGAUACGUAUAAGAAACAGUGCGUGUACAAUCACUGAUUAGAAAUAUAGACCAGUAUUGGUUGUCAAAAACAACAACCAAAAAGUAUACGGACCAUUGGAAUCUAUAGCCUGAUAGAAACUAAAGCAUGUCUUCUGGUCAGAUUGGUAGGUACGUGUUUCUAUAUGGACUCUGGACAUAUAUUUUUAUUUUUGUAAAAUAAAGUACGUAAAUUGAUUCAAUCUAUAUAAAUUUUGGGUUUUCUUUAAGAACUUUUUAUCAUCAUCUAACACAUUUAGUGGAAUGGUAUAGUCAUAGAAAACAAACGGCUAAGGGUAUCGCACAUGAUAUACAAACACAAACAAAACGACGAUAAAACUUUAAAUCUAGGAGGAUAAGAUUUUGCCAAAAUCUUAAAAGAAAGUCGGAUAAAAUUUAACUCAAUUAGGUAACAAAAUAAAUGUGGGUUCACCUCAUGUGACAACAAAAUUGGAUAGCUUAUAACUGUAGGACGGUCCAAUAUUGAAUCUAACAAAAAUCUAGCAAUACAUAUCUUACCAUUAACAGUUUAUUAUUUGAAUCACAAAGAUUCAGAUAAUAUAGGAUGCCUGUCCACGUCUAGAAAGAUAAAUUUUCUAUUAUAAAACUCUUAACCUUAAGAAACAAUAGGUUUGUGGGGAACAAUUUGCAGGCUAAUGGUCCCAUCUCUCUUAUCUCUUGACCAAAUCAGUUUUGAAGCUAUUCGUUGUCUCUCAAGUAUAAGAGUUAAAUGGUCACAUAAAGUUCAGAUUCUGUCAAACCACUAAGAUACUGACAAAUACAUUUGUAUAUAUGGAGAGGUGUGUUAUGUGCGUAUAGUUUAUGUGUCCAUAAAUUGCAGUUUAUUCCGAACAAAAAGUGGUAUCGAGAAGUGAUAAAAAGAAUGCGAUUGGUGUAAAUUUAGUAAGUAGAGAUUAAAUUAAAGUUUAAAGAGGCAACAAGCGCAUGUGUACUUUUCAAAGUUGAAGUCAGAUACAUUAUAUGCAUUGGCGUAUAGAGUUGAUAUGUGUCAAGAUAUGAUGGAUUGAUGUGUUAAAAAGUUGGUCAUCUUUUUGUUAUUUAUAUGAUGUAAAUUUGAUUUUUUUUAUCCUAUACAUUUUAUAUAGUGCACUUUUGAAGCCGUAGAAAUGAAAAUGAAAACAUUACAAAUAUUUAAGUUUAUUUCAUUUAGUUUAAAUAUUUAGUUGUGUUCUUAGCUACGGGGUUCCACUUAAAUUUGUAAAUAAUAUAGUUUUUUUUUAGCAAAUUAAACUCAUGGUGAUGUUUUAUACAACAUAUUUAUUAGUUGGCAAUAACGCUUAUAUUCUUCUUCGAACAAAAAAAAAAACUCAUAUGCUCAAAAAGAUAAAACUCUCAAGAAGAAAAAGAUUCAAAUUCCAAAUGAAGACAAGAAAACUCUCAAGAAGACAAAAGCUCUCAAGAAGACAAAGAUUCAUGUUCCAAAAGAAGACAAUAAGAUAAGAUUAUCAAUUUAAUGAAAAUGGAGAAAGGACUCGUAAGAUUAUUGUCUUAAGUGAAGAUAAGAUAAUCAGUUAUGCUAAGACUACUCACUACAUGCAACACACACACACUCACACAACACUCCUUCAAAAGUAAUCCGAAAAAAUGUCGUUCUUGCAAGGCCCACCUUUAAUUCUUGUUCUUCCAAGUCUACGUUUGUUGUCCUGCAUUGCUUCCAUUUGCAGCAAAAUAAAUAUUUAUAUAUUGCCAGUGUCACCAGUUCGAAUGUAACCUUGAAUUGGAACAAUAUAGAGAAAAUUAGCAUUGUCCCUGUGUAACUUUCCAAAUUGAAUUCUUCAUGUCCUUCAUCUGAAUUUGGAUUUCUAGAGAGUUUUUUUCCGUUUUCUGGAACCAUAACUGAAUAUUUGGAUGAAGAUCUACGCGAGGGAGAAAAAAUCCAGAUUCUUAAGCCCUAGAUUUUUACCAAGAAACACGUUUUACAAUGUGUCAAGAGGUUUAUAAUAACAAUUUUCAGGCCCAAAAUCGUUAUACACGACCAUAAGAUACAAGUUUACAUUUCACACAAUUUUUAAAAUCAAAGAAACUUUCCACACAUUUGUCUCUUCCUAUAGCCGAGCUAAGAUCCUCUCAGUAAUCAAUCCUUCGUAGAGGAGAAGGUCCAUUGUUUUAUAUAGGAAUCCGAGAAGCCUCGCUAGUUAUAUAAUGGGCUUAUUAUUUAGUUCACCAAAAAGGCCCAAUUUUUGCUGUUCUCAAAUUUUUUUUUAUAGCACAUCGUUUAUAAGAUCAGUGAAACAAACGUUUAUAUAUCGCAAGAGUCAACAAUAUGAUUGUCCCUUCGGGACAUCCGAUAAAAUUGGAACGAUACAGAGAAAAUUAGUAUGGCCCCUGCGCAAGGAUGACUCGCACAAAUCGAGAAAUGGUAAAAAAAAAGCACUUCAAAAACUCAAUUUCUAAUGAUAAUAUAUUGAAAACAUAGUGUAGUAGUAUAUCAUGUUUUAUCAAAGUAUUUACUAUUAAUAAUUUUCAUUUUUUCUUAAAAUUUUGAAAUUCAAACUUGUAAACGAUUUGAAAAUGUAAAGUGACUUUAAACAAAAAAUGCACAUCGUUUUGAAACACAGUGAACUGUAAUUUUCAAGACGCGUUUUAUCAAAAAUAUCGUUUUACAUUUGUGAACAUUCAACAAAUUUUGUAAUUCAAAAAAAAAGAAAAGAGAGAGAAAUGGUUUUUACAGAACUAAGGAAGAAAUUUCUGAAUUCUCUUGUUUUGAAACAUUUGCAAAAGUGGAACAGUUGAAUUACAAAUGAGAAUUGAACUAAAAAUACACAUCAUUAACAGAGAGGGAAAGGGUGUGAAAUCUCAACGUGUUCUUGAUUUAAUGCGUCCUUCUUUCCCGAGAUUAACCGAAAAGGAAGUGGAUGAUAAAAAGAAGAGGGAGAUUAAGAAGUGGCGUGUCAUUAAUCUGGCUCUGGCGGCUAAUCCGGCUCUGGCGGCUGAUGCACCUCUAGCAGCUCCGGUGUCUCCAGCAGCUCCGGUGUCUCCAGCGGCUCAGCAUGAGGAAGCGCUCCAAAAGGAAGGGGCUUAGGAAGCUGUUCAGUAAAUCUAUAAAAUUGAUUUUUUUUUUUCGGUUUAAGUCUGUUUUUCUUUUUUUUUGUGUUAAAAAUUUGGCUCUUUUUUUUUUCAACGUGGUGUAAAAAGUUUGGUUUUCUACAAACUUAAAAAAAAAACAAAAGUAAUCCGGUAAAAAAAAUAUAUAUAUAAAGAUAGCUUUUCUCUCUUCUGGUGCUGCCACCUCAGCAGCCACCUCAGCAGCCAUCUGUGCAAUUAUUUUUUUUAAAAACUUUUAGUUUGUCCGGUUUCUUCAGUAACGGCAAAUGAUGAGACACUUUAAAUAAAUCAAAUAUCACACUACCAGAAACUAAAAUUAAACAAACCAUAUGAACGACAACAAUCACGGAAUCACCAUCAAAAGAGAAUUGCAUAAACAGAUUUUUCGACGGAAGUAAUAUUUUCCAGAAAAAAAACUCAGCUCAGCUUAACCAUAAACGCUGGACUUUCUACCAAUCCCAAAAAGAAUCCAUGAAAUCCACGCCAAAUUGGAGUCACCAACGGCACACCCAAAAAACCAAUUCCAAAGCUGAGAAACUGAUCAGCUCCCCAAUAUGAUGACGAAUAGAGGUAUAUCUAAGAAAUCAUGGGAAAGGGUUAGACCGGCACCGAUUCUGGAAAAAAGCACUGCAAGAGUGGACAAUACCGAAAUAAACAUCACUGAAUCACCCAAGGAAGAAAGAGAAGGAGGAUAAAAAAAUGACUCAAUUAGAGACCAAAGGAAUGGGUAUGAACAAAAGGUUGGUCCGACCAAAAUUUCAAUCACCCUCUUUCAAUUGAAGCACCCUCUAUCAACUAUAGAAGAGUUUUGCCAACAUUUGAGAGAGCUAUCGAUUAAUACCUACAAUUAUGAAGGGCUAAAAACGGACACAGCUUUGUAUAAUCAAAAUGAGAUUUCAUAAACAUCGAACGAAUAAAUAAAUAUAGCUGGAAAUGAGCUAAUAUAAAAUAAUACAAAAAAUUACAGACUAAAAAAAAACUUUCAUACUAACCAUCCAAACCCGAUUUCAAUAUAGACAUUUUGUACUUCUUUUGACUCAAGGCCUUAUACAAAAUAUACUAACGGAGAAAGUGCUUUCACAAUUACAAAUUAAAAAAACGAAAAAACAAAUACUUCAUAAACAAAAAUAAAUUAACAAGAAUAAAUAUAGCACUUCCAUAACAUUAACCAAAAAAUUAUUUAAAAAAAACACCCCGAAUAACACCUUUUAUAAGAGACAUAAGUCUCCCAUAUAUAAAACUAUAAAAAAAGGAAAAAACAUGUGUAUAAUAUAAUAAAGAAGAAUCGUAAUAUAAAAACAAUGGUAAACGUCCGCGCGUAACGCGGAUGAUACACUAGUCUUAUAUAAUGAUAAGUACGUUUAAGUGGUUACACAUAUAUUUAUAGAAUUAAUUACAUAGAAGUUAAAAAACUCUGUACUUAGUUGUCAACCGUCAAAUAUUUUGGAGAUGACGAUUCAUACACUAAACGGAGAGACCCAGCCGUUUUUUUUUGCUCUCUUCGAUAAGAUAAUGUAUUAAUUUAAUUCAAAUCUGAGGGACAAAAAUAAUAAAAUUCAGUAUGCAUAAGAAGGAGCGGCGAGAAAGAAGGAAAGACCAAUGGGAUCUAAAGGAGAAAUUUCUAAUAUUUUGACCAUGUUCUACACUGUUCGAAUUUAUUCAUUGCACUCUCACUGUAUUUUAUCUCAUCUUUACGGACUGCUUAUGUUUUCCUCAAAUCUGCUUAAUUCUCAUACGUUAUCAUUAGGUCGUCGUGAUGCUUUUACCAGGUUUUGAAAUUUUUAAUGGAAAGAAAUAGCAUAAGUGCUCUACAUGGCCAGAUAACCGUUGGAACUCUUAUCCUUCAGGUAUCUAGCCACUCUCCAAAAUAGCACAUCUAUAUAAUUUUCACAGCGUUUGUUUCUGCGCACUAUUUUGUAUGCCACUGCGUUUCAUCAAGCAACAGUUGCUUUCAUUAGAUUUUUAAUUUAUGGUUUCAUGAAUCUCUAGGACUGUGCUGUGGGUUUGCUUUUUGCUCUCCUUCCCGUUCUUGGUGGCACAUCUGGUGUCCUACAAGGAGUGUUGUCCAUGGCUAAAUCGUAUGUAUUCAAUUUUCCAGGAAGUUCUGUGAAAAUAUCGACAAUAUCCUGCUUCAUUUUUUACACUUGUUAUACUGUGGUCUAAUCAAUCCAAGUAUUUGACUUUUUUUUCUUUUUUUUUUUUGACGGUGUGAUCAUUUCUUUCCAGGUUGGCUAUUUUGAUUGCGUUUUUGGCUGCUUUGUUUGUAUUGUCCCUCUUGUUUAAUCUCAACUUUUUAAUUUCUAAGCUAAAAAUUAUUCAGAAUUGUACAAGUUUGAGUGAAGCUUUCGCAUAUGUCUAUGUAGUGGGCUCCACCCGUCUCCAUAACUUGCCAAACGAAUGAAUUCGUACAAAAAGGAGAAUAAUUAUUGAUUCACAUACAGAGCCUUACUAUCUCAACACUAUUUUUCAAUAAGGGGUUUUGUUUUGGAUUUUUUAGUUAUAUAAUAUGAUAUACAGUGGUCUAUCUUCUCUUUCAGUUUGAGUUUCUAUCUAAUUUGUCAAUAAAAACUGAUUUUAAAUGGGACCAAAUUUUAUUUUAGAUAACUUGUUCUAAAAGAUAUGUACAAGUAGCCACAACUUGUUCUAUCGAUAGUAAGAGACACUAAGGUCAAGACUCUAAGUAAGAUAAACAAUUCGUAAGAAUUUUUUUUUAUAUUUCUAACCAUUUGACGCCACAAAUCACAUAUGGAUCACAACAUCACUCCUUAGAAUGCAGAGAAAUUUUUUUUAUCACACGAACUUCUUUCCAACUUGCUUCUCCGUUGAUGUGAUGAAAUGAUUCCUACCAAUCCGUUCUCUAUAACUCGAGAGAAAAAGAGUGAAAAACUACAAGAGUUCAAAGUGUGAGAAAAACGGCAAGUGCAAUGUGAGAUUCAUAUGAGUGAAAAUUUACAUAGCAUAAUGGUAUGAAUAAAACUAGAUGACUUAUGUGACUUUGGAGUAGCAGUUGGAUGGAAGUGAAACUGCAAGAAGCAUAAUUAGAUCCCUUUUGGUUUGCAGUAUUAUGUUAUCAUCCUCUGCAGCUUCUGCAACAUCCACUUGAACCCGUUCAAUGCAUUUGAAUUCCCCCAAAAAACUCUUCAACUCUUCCGCAGUUCCUCGAUAACCAGGGAUAUGCAACGCCUUCACUUUGUUCAGAGGCAUGGAGACAUUGCCUGUGUAACCAUUCAGAACCUGAAAAAGCAGCAGCAAUCAACAAGUUCUAUGCAAACGAUCAACCACUAAGUUUGCGUAUGUUCAUAUAUAUUUGUUCAUAUGUUUUGCUUAUAGAAUAUACAUGGACGAUCAGAGUUUCAAGCUUUGGAGCCUGAUUAAGCAGGUAUGCCAGCAAUUUCCAACCUCACGUAUUCCUAAUCCCCAAAGAUAGAUUGACCAAAUUGCCAAACACCGGCAGCUUAUAUCUACAGUAAGAAUAAAUCACCUGAAACAAACACAAACACAGUUUUCAAGAAUGUCCAAUGUUCUUAAAAGAAAAGAAAAAAAGAAAGUGGCCAAAACUUUUACAUGAGCUGAAACGGAAGAGAGGUGAAGAAUCUCAACAUUUCUUAUCCCCACAAUGAGAUCGGUUACAUCCGGCGUCUUCACCAUAUCUGUCGGAUGAAGAUCCAUCUUAGCUUCGAUCGACUAGGUGUUCUAGGUUAACUUGUCUAUACUCAGCCAACGCAAAAUGAGAGUACUCAAGGUAGACAAGUUUUGGCAAGUCAAGUGACAUAAAAUCACAACCAUUAAAAUAAAGAGAAUCGUAGUAAACUGAUAGUCUCUUGAUGGACGGACUCGAUAUGGUGUGAGGCAUUGGUAAGAAGCCUUUGUGAUGGACUGAUAACUCCUCGAGCACUGGGCAACCAGCAAGAAGCACACCACACAGAUCUUCGUAUUGGAAGUAAACAGAAUCGAUGAAGAGCAACUUAAGAGAUGGAAGCAACACAUAUGAAGGAAUGUUUUCAAGAUAGAGCUGUGACCCUAGUGUAAGCUUGACCAGUGUUUUGCUUGCAAAGAGCUGAGGAGGAAGAGAGAGUGUACCCAUAUCUUUUAUCCUUAGGUCCGCUUCCAAAACACCACGGCCUGCGACAUUAGAUAUCCAGCGGUCCACACAAGCCUUUUGGCGUUCAUCGUACGAGACAACUUUUAGAGAGGAUUUCUUGAUGGGAGAAUCACAUUGCAAGAGGACAGUGUUCGAUCCACGAAAUUCUCAAAGCUCUCCGGAAACGCUAGUUUAUCCUCCCCUGCGUGGAGCGAGACAGAAUCAUCAAAGUCGAGGUUAUCCACCAGUCUAAACAAAUACCUCCACUGUUUCGAGAGAAGAGCUGUUGAAGCAGCCUGUUUUGUCGGAAGCAAGGACAAGAUGCUUCCUAGAACCUCGUGAGGGAGCCAGCUGAUUGAAUCCCUCAAACAGGUUGUGUCAAAUCUUUUGGCAUCCAUAGAGAGAUUCAAGUGUCUGAAACAUCAAAUGAUUCAACUUCUAGAUUAACCACAUAGCACCCACCAAAAGGAUAAGCGGAAUGCUGAAGUAAUAGAGAGAGAACAAUGACCACAGAAGGAUUCACUUAUCACAACUACAAUGACUUGAGCAACCAACUACAUGAUGAAGCGGAAUCGACAUUGUUGCAGGAAACAAGAAAUAACAAUAAUAAUUGUCAAAGACGGAACAGAAACUAAAGGUUCAAGCUUCUACAUUUUUGUUUUCUUUCUUUUUUUGGAUUGAAGUUUAAAUAAAGGCUCUAGAUUGACGAAAACGAACAAUAUACCACUACAAAGCGAUUAGUGGUAGACUCAGUAUAUUUAAACCCUAUUGAAUCUCAAAAGAGUACACACAGUUGUAACUUGUAAGAACCAGAGUGAGCAGAACAGAGGUCAAUUUUCCACAAUUACAAAUCAACAAAGGUUCAAGCUUUUUUUUUUUUCUGGACUGAAUUGAAAAGCAAAGGUGCAAGCUUUCAUAUGAAGCGAAUAGAGACGAACCCGUGACGGUGGAGAAAGGACGAGAAUGAUGGCGUUGGUCGUCUCGAUUCGGAUUUAGGUCAAUAUUUCCGAUAUACACAAUUUAGGGAGUUUUGGUUUUUUAUGCUCGUCAAAAAAUAAAUAAAUCAGGAUGAGAAAGAUAUCACUCAAAAUAUAACUUUUGAUAUCACUCAAGAAAAAAAGGAUUUUGAUAAGAGUUCCAAAGGUGAUAAGAUCUAACGGCUGCGGUUGGUUUUAAUUUUGAUUUUGAUUUUUUUUUUAAAGUAUAUACUUGCAAGAUUAAAACUCGUAAUUAGUUAUCUUUUUGUUCAGACUGCUACUACUCCAAUAGUCGAUGUUAUGCUCUGUUUGACUCUGUUAUGCUCUGUUUGACUCUGCUAUGUUCUGUUUUGACCUGCUCUGCUCUCACUUCCACGUCUCUGUUUUGGGCAAUGAUGUUUCGAUUCACAGGAACUUAUCAUUUAGUGGAUUUACUAGACAGAAAAUAACCUGAUGCGCUCAUACCAUUUCAAGAGAUACCAAAGACCCAACAUACAAUUUUCUUUUUCUGCUUUGCAUUGGUCUCUUUCAUAGAAAGAUCAGUUAGUCCACCAUAUUUUUCCUAAAUGGUUCAGGAAUAUGUUUAUAAUUCCAGAGCCAAGAUGCAGUAUCUAUAAAUACAUGAGUUAACCAAAUACACGAGAUAUUAAUCAAAUUUCUUUUUUGAAAAUUUUCCAGAUCGUUUCCUCAUCAUAUGUUCUUCGACAAUUUCGUUUCUCAAUCCAAACUCAAUGCAGAUUUGGGUGAUAUGCCAAAUACCUUUUCGCAUCUAAUCCUCGUACAGCCAGAUGGUCUGAAACUAUUUUGCAAAACUUACAUAGGAAAUAUAUGUAUAGUUUGGAGGUUACAGUAAGAACUUGCUAAACUUUACUCUCUUGUAACCUCCUACUUCUGCAGUUCUGCUCCAGCCAAUAUGUGGAAUAUGAAGAACCUAUUGGUUUUAAUGCAUUAGCUUAAUGUUGCGGAACUGGGUUGAAUUUGCAUUCGUAUAUCUAGAUCCCUCUCGAUCUCUCAAGAACAAUAGCAAAGAAAAGUUGUUUAGCAAAAAAAAAUAGCAAAGAAAGGAAAACAGAGAAAUCAUAGCAAGAACAGAGAAGUGAGGAAGAAGAAAACAAAAAAUAUGCACGAGUGACUUUACGAAAUAAGUUCUAUGUGUGAGGAACCCUAGCUAGGCAGGACUAGCAACCCACUAAUCGCAAGUUACACAAUUACACACUCGACAAUUCUUGCUAACACCUCCUAAAGAUCAAUCAGUACUCUGUUUUAUAUGUUACAGCCGUUAAACAACUUUCUAACCACAAACCAAUAAUGAAUCGAACCUAAACGAGUCUAGACCAGCUCACUAAUCAGUUCUAGCCCAAAUCACGUCAACCAAUGUGGUUUACACCUCAAGUCUCAAGAUGUAUGGGAGAUCUGGCAAAGGUUUUACGAAAUAAAUUUUCUUAUUUCAUGCUAAAGAGAGAGAACAUUUUUGAAAAGGAAAAACAAAAAUUGCAGGAUAAAUUAAAUAGAAUUCGAUUUACAUAUUAUGUUUAUGUAAGUUAAUAAACCAACCAGCCAACCAAAUCCUCUAAAAUCUAUACCCAACCAAUCUCGUCGGUUAGUUAUUAAAACCGCCAAGCUGACGUGGCAACCAAAGGCCUUUCGUGCCAACAAAGCACUAACUCUCCCUGUCGUUUCGCCACGUGGAACCCUCUAACUUGCGCUUUCUCCACUAAACACUCCGCUUGAAAGUCAACAAACUGGCUUAACGGAAUCGGCCUCAUCCCCGCCGCGCAAAACGCCUCUCGCCACGUCAUCUCUCCACCCGCUUGUCUCUUACUCGCCGCCGCUUCAACCGCAGCCGCGAUUUUAGGUCGCAACACAAACGCUUCUAUAAUCUUCUUCACCAGAUCACCAGUCGGAGCGGCGGCGUCGAGAGAUUCCAACACCAUCGUGUAGAACUCGAGACCAUUAACGAACUCUCUCUGGAACGAUCCGGCUCCGGAGAUUCCAUCCCAUCCUUCGCUAUCGACGAAGACGACGACCUUCGGCGAAACUCGCCGUAAAUCGUUAACGAAAUCGGAGAUUCCGUUUAAACGACGGAAAAUCACCGGGGAAAACAAAACGACGGUUCUCUCUCCUUCUACGAAUCUGAUCGCUUUGAAAGAUAACAUCUCGAAGGUUCGCAUCAGAACGAACUCGAUCUGAAAUCGGAUUUUCAGAUCUGCGGCGAAUUGAGCUAGGUUCUCUUUGACGAGACGCGUCUCGACGGCGGAUUCCUCCGAUACAACCGCCGUGACUCUCAGAAAUCCGCCGUUGAUUGAUGAUUUCUCUGCGAUCUCUCUCAUGAGCGACGCGUAUUGACCGCCGAAUCCGAUCUCGAAGUCGACGACGUGAGCGAACGGGGAAGAAGAUUGUUGGAGAGAAUCGAGGAUUGCUUGAUUCGCGGUGAAAUGAGAGAAGAGUGGGAUCGGAGAUAUCCCGGAGAAUUCUUUGAUUGCUCGAAUUCUCUGAACGAUCUCGGUCCAUGAAGUUAACCGGUUUUGAUUCCGGGUCGACCCGGAUAAAACCGAUCCGAGAGCCUCCUUGAAGUAAAACGCCGCUCUUUGAAGCGGCCUACCCGCCGGAGAUCUGAGACGUUGAUUGAGCCGUGACAAUACCACCUGAGCGAGUUGCAACUCGUCCGAUUCGACACAGUCCACAACUCGGAUGAGAUCUUCUAUGAAAUCAAAGCCUCCAUUGACACUACCUUCGUUGUUGUUGUUGUUGUUGCUGCUUUCAAACCCAUACCCUUGACCACCGGGAUAGACAUCGGAGGACCGAAACUCCGCCGGAUGAAGCUGAUCGGGAAAACCGGGAAGCUGUUGGUCGACGGCGAAGUGGGGAGAAAUGGCAGACGAAAGGAAAUUUGAUUUCAAAUUAGGGGCAGAAUCGUCAUCUAAUUCUAAUUCUUUCAUAAUCGAAUCCCAAUCCAUGGAACGCAUCACAUGAUCAUCUAACGGAAACUGAUUAUCACCACCAGUAAUCUCCGCCGCCGAAAUGACUGGCUUCUCCUCCGCCGCCGCUGGACUUGGACUUCGACGGAGGUCGAGGACUGAAGUUGGCUCGUUGUAGCCAGCAAGAUUCCUUCCUCCUGAGUUACUGUUCGUGGUGUCCGAUGAAGCAGAGACUCUCAUGUCUCGUGAAAACAGAAUUAGUUUUUUUUUUUCUCUCUCUUUCUCGAAUUUGUGAGAAAGAAGAAGGUAGAGAGAAGAGGUUUUUGAAAGGUAUGAUUUUUAUAAUGGAGGUUUCGAAUUAUAUAUAUAUUGAUAAGUUUUUAUGUCGAAAUGGUAUACAGUAGAUAAAAAGAUUCUUUACUUUUUAUUUUUGUUAUGUCAAAAUCAGAUUUCGAUCACGAGAUGUUCGAGCUCCACUAUGUUGAUGAUCGAAAAGACAUUUCUAAAAGAAGGAAAAUAAAAGGGCUUAAAAAAUUAUGUACAAAAACUCCUUAGAAUUUCAGGAAGUUAGAACGGGUCUAGUUUUAUUCAAGAAACAUUUCUUUACUUUGUUGAAAAUGUUUCAUUUCUUUGUUUAAACAAGAAACAUUUGGGACUUCCUUGAAAGAAGAUUUAAAACAUGCAUUUUGGUCAAGAAAGUAAUGAAUUGAAUCAAGUGGUUUGAGGCUUUAAGAACUUUGCUUUAUUCUAAACGGUAAUAUAAAUUACUGCAAAAACAAACUUGAUUUUGCACAAUAUGAUCAGCAACGUCAACGAAGAAUACCAAAGUCAAUUUUGUCAAAACAUCUCUUAUCUAGAAUGUAGUCAUAUGCAUAGCUUAAAAAACAAAAAUAAUGUUAGGGAUGUUCUCGGUGGUUACUAGUUAUCUCGAUUUUAGUCUAGGUUAAAGUUCAUUUUAAUUACACUGAAAAAUACCAUCGAAUCAACUUUCUCUGAAAACUCUUCUUACAUGAAUGAGUCGAAAUCAAAGAUAAAAUGUUGGAACUAGUCUUUUUAAUACGAUAUCAAAAUAUAGACUAGUUUAAUUUUCAUUAAUUUCAAUCUGCACGGGUUUUGAUUAUAACCAAAGAAACUUUUUUUGUCGUUACAGGAAUCUGUAAAUCUAAUUAUUCAAUCUUAUAUCUGUUAAUAACAAUUUGUCAAGGGAGCUUCUAGCAAAAAACUGAAUUAACGGUUAUGGUGUGCUGAAAAAAAAAAAGAACAGUGACCACUUGGAUCCCGAGAAAGUGACUGCCUAAAUCUUGAUCUCACUUUUUUUAGUUAAUCUUGUCAGCGAUUGGCGUUGGAGGCGCGAUUUUACCCGCGGGUAAAUUAUUGAACCAACAUGCUCAGUCCCACUUCUCUCAUCUUUUUCUUUGCCUUUGCGGCGAUGAGUGAGAAGGCGAAUAUGUUCCUUCACUGAUUUGGUUGGAAGUUAGCCUGUCCAUAUUUUUAAUUUACCAUUCCGCAUUUUUAUGUUACUUUUAUUAUUAUUUUUUUGUGAACAAUACUUUUGAUUUUUCAUUAAAAGUUUACAAAACCGAUUUAGAAUUAUCUAAAUAACCAUCAUUACAAUUUAUAUUGUUUAAACACAUACUUAUAAGGAUACGAUACCGUAUUUUUAGCUACUAUAUAAACAAAGGUAAGCAGUUAGUAAUACAACAUGCAAUAACACCAUAUAAAAUUUAUUAAAUUCUAAUCUUUUGUUUUUUUUGUGUGUGCGUAGAUACUCAACGAUUGAAACCGAUUAAUAAAGUAUGUAUUUUAAGGCAUUUGCAUUUUCAAGUUUAUAUUGUUGUGUUUGUUUUCGGUUUUCUAAAAGGUUUAUACUUGUUUUUCCAGCCAUUGAAUAAGUAAUUACAAAGGAUUUUACCAAAAAGGUUGAAAAAGGUUUUGGACAAAAUAAAGUUGAAAAGGCGUCCUCUCAUUACAACAUAAUUCAACCUUUUUUCUCCAGCAGAAAAAUGCCUCGCAUCUAAUUAUAUUAUAUAAUUAAAUCUUAGUGCUAUAGUUUAACUCGUCAGUAUAGCAAAAUAAAAUAGAACAACAAAACCACUCUGUUUCGGUUAAAUGCACAUCCCUACAUUACAUGACUACAUACAUAUGUUCUAUUUGAUUUGAUGCGCAUCUCCGAGCUAGUAUGCAGGCUUUAUUUAAUAAUCAUGAAGUCUGUGGACUUAAAUUAAAAUAUUUACCAACUCCACAACAUUAUUUUUCCGAAUAACUAAAAAUUAAUAUUACAUUUUUGAUAGUUUACUACGUUUUUCGCUUGAGGUUUACUUUUGUUUCCCAGAAUUUAUUUUCAGCAGUCUAAACCAAGCUAAUUUAGCACAUGUGAUCAUAUUUUAAACAAAUCAAUCAACCAAAUGAUAUCUAACCUUCCCACUCUGCCAGUAUUUUUUUCAACUGACCUAAUAAUUCUCCACGUUGGAUUCCUUCGUCACCCAAAACGUAACAUUAUUGUAUUGGCAAGUUUAUUAGAGCGUUAUGUUAUCAUAACCAACUUAAAUUUAGGUUAAAUAGUUUUAUUUUUGGAUAUUUGAAAAAUAAAACUGCAUUCCAACAUGUCUGAAAAGCAAAAAAACUUAUUGGAAUCUUGAAUUUAAUAUAUAGUGAAUAAGGGAGUUCAAACCAAAACUAAUAAUGCAUAUUCAAGCGGAUCCAUAUUAGUUUUACUCUGUUUAUAAUUUUUAUAAAACAAACGGUUCUAACUGAGAAAAUGGAAAUUUUAUAUCAUUCUUAAUUUAUGUUUAGGUUAUUAGGAAAAGAAAACUCUCAGUUAUUUUAUUUUUAUUUUGGGUAAAAUAACAUUUCGUCUUUUAAUAAUGCAAAACAAUAUUCAUCUAUCUCCGCCAACUCUAAGCUACAAUCAACUGAGUUACUCAAAUAUAGAUUUUUGGUAAUUCUUUGUUUGUUACUAAAGCUUUUUUUUGUCGGCUGUUACUAAAGCUUAGUUAUUUUAUUUUUGGCACACCGAGUAUUCUUAACAAACAAAAAAAAGAGUCAAAUACUUAGCUAGGAAGUAAGAAAAACAAAGGAGAGGCCUAUAAUACACAACACAUAGACGUUUCAUUUUAAAGCAGAGAAAGCUUCAAGCUCACAAAAGCAAUAAAGGAUGUUUUUCGUAGAUUCUGAUUUUAUGUCAUUCACACACAUAAAAAGAUCGUUCCAUUAAAAUAUAACGCAGAAAGUGCAAGGAAAAAUUGAUAAGGAGAUCGAAUUUUUUUUUUUUUGAUUUUGAAGUUCAUAGCUGUGAAACCCUUAACAAAAAAAAUAGCUGUGCAUACAUAACAAUAAUGUAUACCCAAUAAUUGAUUCGUAGUGAUAAAUUGUGUAUUUUAGGUGGUGUAUAUAUUUGUAUUUCUUUUUGAUUUUCACGUACAAAUAAUCUACAUUAAAAAGUAGGGUGAGAAACAGCAGCUGGACAUUAAUUAAUCUGGUAUUGAACCAUAUGAGCUCUAACUUCAAUUUAUCUGCUUAGUUAAAUUCAAAUCCUGCUCACUUAGUUCUAGAAUCUAGAUGGUUCAUCAUUCAUGACUUCAUGUAUAUAUUACAUAAUACUCUUUUUUUUUGACGUUUGCAAAGUGAUCUAUUGUGUUUAGCUAAUGCCAAAAAAUAAAGGUAUUUAAAAAAAAACAUAAAGGUAUUUAAAAAAAACAUAAAGGUGUUUUUUUUUUGUGUCGCAACAUAAAGGUGUAUAAUGAAGCUUUUAAGUAAGUUUAUAGUUGUGCAAAGCGGCAAGAAAAAAAAGGUGUAAGUUUUAGUAAUGAAGAAGACCAAUCAAUAACAUAUUUAUAUAGGUCAUGAUAUCGUAUUUAUCGUCCGAUAAACUAGUACCAAGUUUUAUCAUGGAAUAUUUUCUAUCAUUGUAUGCAUAUCAUGCGGAUGAAUACUCACAUGAAUUUUUCAUAAAUCAGUGUGAUCAUAAUACAUACCUUAUUUUAAUACAUCUGUGGCAACAACUCAGCACAUUUUCUAAAUAUUUUUUUAAUCAAACAUAAGCUAAGAGACAUAUUUAACAUUAAAAAUAAUUUUACUUAACCGAAAAAGGAGGGGAAGAGAAAGUAUCUUCAAUCUUUUACAUGAUGGAAAAGUAACAUAAUGAGUAGUCACAGUCAUAACAUGCUUUUUCUGAGACAUGGAAGAAUCCAUUUGGAAGGUUGGAUAGGUUGUUCGGUAAUUUAGCCUUCACUUUAGAAUUUAUUACUUUACACGUUUUCACUAUGUAACUUUCACUUUCACUCACAUUUCCACAAUGUAUCCAUUUUUUUUUCAAAUAAGAGAAAGGAUAGCUAUUCUUUAAAUAUAAAAAUAUGAAGACCGUAUAAUUUUUUGUAUAACUCAUGUUGGAUAAUUAAUUUUCGUAUUCUAAAUUCUAAGUAUCUUUUUAAUUCAAAAUUUAAAUUAUGACAUUUUAGAAAUAAUUGCUGUAAUUAUUGUUAUUCGUAUAAUUUGUCUAUUAUCAAAAAUCGAAUUCUAAUCAUAUCAUAUAUAUAUUAUAAGCAAAGUAAAAUUUUGAGUUAAAGCUCUCUCAUUCAAUUUUAGGGUGGCUAAUUACCUUUUACCCCUUCUUAUAUUUUUUAAAUUAAUUUUAAUAACAAAAUUAUUAAAAAUUGUAAAUUAAUUAAAAAUUAUUAAAAAUCGUAAUAAAAUAAAAUAUUAAAAAUCGUAAAUUAAUAAAAAAACUGUUAAAAUCGAAAUUUAAUAAAAAACACUUAAAUUUAAUAAAAAUUAUUCAAAAUCGAAAUUUAAUCAAAAAAUAUUUAAAAUAGAAAAUAACAAAAAUUUAAUUGAAAUUUAAUCAAAAAAACAUUUAGAAUCAUAUCAUAUAUAAUAUAUGCAAAGUAAAUUUUUCGCUAUAAGGUCUCUCAUUCUAUCUAGGUAACUAAUUCUCCUUUAUUCAUUAAUAAAAUCUUUUUAAUUCCUUUUUAUUCGUUAAUCAGAUUAUCUGUUGUGCGAGAUUAUCUGAAAAAAUGUGCAUGUGAUGUGGGAAAUCCUAGCUUAAGUUGAGAGCUAUAUAUUACUUUUUUAAAUGUAUCUUAAGCUCAAUUGUGGUUUGGUUUCUACAUUGGUCGGAUUUUUGUUGUAUUGUUUACCGUCUUUAUUUUUUAUAAAUCAUUUUUCGUUUUUUUCUAUUGUUUUUUUCCGUUUUUUUCAGUACCAGUAAUAGUGUUCCUCGAUUAUAUGUUGUUUUUUUGUGUUGUGUGUAAAUUUUGUAUUGGAGUCUACUUACAUUGAAAACUACUGUUUUAUGGUAUUUUUCUCUCUUACAGAAUCAUAGAGCUGGAAAUGAAGCUGAGCAUUCUUUAUAAGAAACAGGGCCGUGCAACUCAGUUCUCCAAUAAGGCUGCUCGAGACGAAUGGCUUCGAAAGGAGAUUGAAGAUCUCGAGCGUAUUCUAGACUCAAAUAUGGUUCAAGUGAGUUUAUCAAAUAUGGAAGAUACAUCAUCAUAGCAACAAUUAGAUCAUAUGAUUAGACAAUGUUUUUGAACGUUAAAAGGAUGGCAUUUCUAUGACAUUUGGAUCUCUUUAUAGUUGAUGCAUAUGAUUGGUGAUAUAACAUGUUUUAUUCUAUAUAUUGUAGGAGCAAAAAUUUGAGGAUGAGAUUCUUCGCCUCAAUACUGAUUUGACAGAGCUUGAUGUACACAUCAAGAAACAUGAAGUUGGAAUUGGUGAUCUAAAAGCUCACAUUUCCAAGUCACAUGAACAAUUCAAUUUUAAAAAGAGGGAGAGAGAUGAAGAACAUAGAAAAAGGACGUAAGAGUAUUUCUAUUAGUUCAUUACCAUACCUUAAGUACAUUUCAAAUAUAUCAGGAGACAUAUGUUUACACAGGGAAAGUGGGGAGAAGAAAGUCACCUAUCUUCUGAGAUUGAGAAGUUGAAAACCGAAGUUGAAAGGGCAGAAAAAAACCUUAAAAAUGCAACUCCAGGGGUGAGUGAUUGGCUUUGGUAUCUCUUUUUAUCUUGUUUGCUAUGAAAAUGUAAAAUUUUCCAAGACUAGUUGAUGCAUUAGAUACAUACAUUGUCUGUUCUGCCGCUUUGAGAAGUAUCUUGUACGCCAUUUUAAGUUCCCUGUUUCUGCUAGUGACUCAAGACCAUUCAUUGUAUCAGUAUUUAAGGCGAGGGCUAAGCUCUAUUCCAAGGAUUUGCAUAGAGUAUGAGAUCAAUGGAGUUUUUGGUCCACUUUUUAAGUUGGUUGAUUGCGAGGAAAAGUAUUUCAAUGCAGUUGAAGUCACUGCUGGAAACAGGUAUGCGAGAAACCUGCUAAUAUUUAUGAAUAAUGACCUUAAUCUCUUAUUCAAACAAAAGAAAUGAAAUGAUUUCACUACUCGCUAAUGAUCACGGUCGCUAUUGUCAUCUGCUGUUUGUUCUAUGAGCGCAGCCUAUUUCAAGUGGUAGUUGAGAAUGACGAUAUUUCAACCGAGAUUAUUAGACACCUGACUUCUCUAAAAUGUGGACGCUUGACCUUCAUACCUCUGAACCGGGCAAAGGUGCCGAAUCAUGUAAUCUAUCCUCAAAAUUCUGGUGCAACACCAUUGAUGAAAUGUUUAAAGUUUGACUCCAAAUUUGCAUCAGCAUUUGGUCAGGUGCGUCUUUCUUUCUCUGAUCUACCACUUUCUCUUCCGAUGCAGAAAUGUCAUUUCAUUGUAUUUCAAAAUGUGCCUUGAUCUGUAUAGGUUUUUGGUACAACAGUAUUAUGUGAUGAUCUGAAUGUGGCAACAAGAGUUGCUAAGAGUAAUGGCUUAUUAGAUUGCAUAACUUUGGAAGGUUGGAACUGAAAAUGCUUUUUUCUUUGUUUCUUUUACUUUAUUUUCCAACAAGAGUUGUUAAAGAGUAUUUGGUUGGUACCUUAAGGCUCUGGUGUGCCAUGGCAGGUGAUUUGGUGAGUGGAAAAGGUGUCAUGACCGGUGGGUAUUAUGACAAAAGUCAGUCGAAGUUGAGAUGCAAUAAUAUCAUAGUAAAAAAUCAAAACACUAUAAAUACAAAAGAGAAGGUAUUGGAGGAUGUUAAAAGGCAGCCCCAAGAUAUCCUUUUCCAUAACUGACUUUCUUGGUUUAGUUUUUUUGUUGGUUUUUAAUCGCAUUUUCGUUUUUCUUGUCCAUUCAAAGAGUUUUACUUAACUUGUCUCACUGAUAGAUCAGAAUAUCACACAGCUUGUUACUGAGCUGCAGAGGCUUGAAGCAGACUGGACUCACCGUAAUUCACAGGUGGAGAAACUGAAGCAAGAAAUAGCUAAUGCGAAUAAGCGGAAACAGGAUAUACAUAAAGCCCUUGAAAAUAAGGUUUUUCCUCAUUCUUUUCGAGCGUCCAUUAAGGGUUGAAAUAUGUUUUUCCACAUACUUAAUUUCUUCACCUGUUUGCAGGAGAAAUCACUAGGUGAUAUUAAAACACAAGUUGAUCAGCUAAGAUCUAGCGUGGCCAUGAAGAAAGCUGAAAUGGGUAAGGAACUUGUGGAUCACGUAACCCCAGAAGAAAGGGAGCAAUUGUCACGAUUAAACCCCAAAAUUAAGGAUCUUCAGGUAAAACUUAUUGCAUACAAGACGGAUCGCAUUGAGGUUGGAAAUGAAAGAGAAAAAUUGCUUGAAAGUGUUUGUUUUCUUCUUUGAGUUGAUUUAUUAUUUGCUUUUUGUUUCAUUACAAACAGAGGGAGACAAGAAAAGCAGAGUUGGAGGCUAAUUUGGCUACCAACUUAAAGAGGAGAAAAAAUGAGUUACAAGCUACUAUAGCUUCCAUGGAGGAUGAUACGUUGCUUAGUUUAGCUGGCUUAAAAACACAAGAACUCAAUGAUGCAACUUUGUUAGUUGACGAGGCCACAAACGAGCUCGAAAGUGAGUCCAAAACAUUGUAAUCUACUUUUGGGUUGACAUUGCUUGAUAUUCACUCACUAGUGCCAUUUACAUGGCUUUAUAGGUCUCUGUCACAGCAUUUCUGAGAAGAGAAUGCAAGUCAAGAAAGUCAAAGAUAAGAAAGCAAAGUUAAAGGUACCUAGUAUAUAUAUAAUCGGUAAGCUAAGAGUAAUAUCGUUUUCUCUCUAAGAUAUCUUUGAGAAAAUUUUCUUCUUCUCAGACAUUGGAAGAUGACCAUGAGGGGAAACGACAAGAUAAAGCAAAAAUUUUGGAGGAACUAUUCAUUCAACGCAACACACUCCUUGCUAAGCAAGAAGAGUACACGAAGAAAAUUAGGCAAUCAGGCCCAUUGUCACUUGAAGCUUUUGACACGUAUGUUUGCGAAUAAUUGUCCAAUAGUUCUUCAGCUAGUCUUCAUUGGGGGAAAUUUUUUUAUCAUAUGUAUAAGCUAAUGGUAAUAUUAUCAUUAUAGGUAUAAAAGAAAAAACAUCAAGGAGUUGCAGAAGAUGCUACACCGGUGCAGUGAAGAGCUGCAACAAUUCAGCCAUGUAAACAAGAAAGCGCUUGAUCAGUAUGUAAAUUUCACGGAACAACGAGAAGAACUUAAGGAGAAGCAAGCAGAGCUUGAUGCAGGGGAUGAGGUAUAAAUAAUGGGAGGUUUCAUUAUCAUACUCUUUAACAAAUUCUGUGUUCUAACUAUUAAGUAAACGACACAUUUCGAAAUUUCUGCAGAAAAUCAAAGAACUGAUAUCAGUUCUUGAUCAGCGGAAAGACGAAUCUAUAGAACGUACUUUCAAAGGUGUUGCACUUGAAUUCAGGAAAGUAUUCUCUGAGCUUGUGCCAGGUGGAAUUGGUGACCUUGUCACCAUCCCCAAGAAUAAGGCAUGUUUCUUUUUCCCUUGUGAUACAUUUAGUGUUCUUAUAUACUAAGUACUAUGCUCAGCUAGUUAACCCCUCGCGCACGGAACCAUCUUACUUAGUAUAUUUCAUUGUUGUUUGAUAUGUGAUCCUUGUACGUGAAACAUUUUGGGUGCAUAUUCAGGACCGUGAUCAUGAUGAUGAAGAUGAAAUUUAUGGAUGUCGUGAAGCUGAUACAGAAGGAAAAGAUGAGAAAUAUAUUGGUGUAAAAAUGAAGGUAACAUCUAUUAUAAUCCCUUGUGUUUAGUGUUCAUGUACUGAUCACAUUUUACCAAUUUGUUUUUGCGUAGGUGUCGUUUAAUGGUCAAGGGGAGACACAAUCAAUGAAACAAUUGUCAGGAGGCCAAAAGACCGUUGUUGCAAUUGCUUUAAUCUUUGCGAUCCAGCGAUGCGAUCCUGCACCAUUCUAUCUAUUUGAUGAGAUCGAUGCAGCACUUGAUCCUCAGUAUCGAACAUCUAUCAGCAGUAAGUAUCCUUUUCUUUGAUCUAUCUAUCUUUUUUAAUUUUAUUGAAAAUGUCCCACACAUGCAUGAUGCAUGCACAGAACUUGAAAAAGUUACAAUUUUCUUAACCAAACUAUAUUUAUUAAUUAUAGACAGGAUUCAUGGUUUAGCUGAAAGCACACAAUUCAUUACAACAACUUUUCGUCCGGAGCUUGUGAAAGUUGCGGAUAAGAUAUAUGGAGUAUUUUAUAACAACAGUGUGAGUAGUGUGAAUGUUAUUUCAAAAGAUCAGGCGUUGGAUUUCGUCGAGAAAGAUCAGGCGAUGCUAAAUUUAUGAUCGUAUAUAUUGACCAGAGAAGUGUUGCAUUGUCUUGAGAGUUUUUUUUUUUUUCUAUCGGAAAUUAGCAUGAAUAUGAUGCUUUUGGUUAGAGACCCUUGUCGUUUGUUUCAAACAGAAGUUUGAGAAAUUUUUUGGACUAUGUAUGACUUUUAAAUUUUAGUAGUAUUUUGGUUUGAUUUGUGUUUGUAUAAAGAAUAAGAGUAAACAAAUAGUUCUCAUACUUGCUGUUUACAGAAAGAAAAAUUGAUUUCAUUUCGUUUGAAAUAUUUACAAAUACAUAUGUUGAUUUUACCCUCCAUUUUAGUUAACUCAAAGUUUGAAUAAAAGAUAUAUGAAAUUAUCUUUAACGAUUUUGAACAUUCUUUACGAAGUUACGGAGUUACUAAUCAAUUGGCCGAUUUUCACCUUAAUGAGACAUUUUUUCCAUCGAGGGUCAACGAUUGUUAUACAAUUCUUAUUCAAAAUGAUCAGAUACACGUGUCAAUGUAACUAUACACGUGUUCACUAUAUACGACGCGUGUCCAAAACCUGGCCCCACUCUCCAUGGAUUCCUUAUGUUAUUUACCGCCAAUUACAUUUCCUGUGAAGAGAUAUAUGUAUGUCGCAACUCCAAAAGUCUCUUUGAGUCUAUCAAACAAUGUCGAAAUUUACGAUUCUUCCACUCUGUCUCGUUACCUUAUUCAUCUGCACGAGCUCGUUUUCGGAUCAAAACGACGACGUCCCGAGCUUCCAGUCGCCACUUCUGAUCAAGAAAAAUCAACGGACGCAAAUCGUUGAAACGGAGUUCGGAGAGAUAUCAGCCGUCCAGAUCGGCGAUGGAUACAAUAUUCAGUUUAUUACAUUGGAGCCAAACGCAUUCUUGCUUCCUCUUCUUCUCCAUUCCGACAUGGUUUUCUUUGUCCACACUGGUACGUAACGUACCCAUUCCCAAACUCAAAUCACAUUUUAUUCUUUUAAUCAUAGACUAUGUAAUACCUACUUAGUAAAUGUUUUUAUUUAUACCUUGAAUAUUUUCCAUCUAAAAUUGAAAGUAACAUUUUUCUGAGCAUGGUUAAUUAGGGUUUAUUUUUUAAGUAAUGUUGUGAUUGUGAUUUGGGGAUUGUGUUAGGGAUUGGAAUUUUGAAUUGGGUCGACGAUGACAAAGAGAGGACGUUAGAAUUAAGACGAGGAGAUAUUUUUAGGCUACGUUCCGGCAUAGUCUUCUACGUCCAUAGCAACUUGGAGAGAAGCGAGUUUCCAGAGAAACUUAGGGUUUACGCAAUCUUCGAUGUGGGGAAGUGUUUACACGAUCCAUGUAUAGGAGCGUACUCGAAUAUCAGAGACUUGUUAUUGGGAUUUGACGAGAAGACCCUCCGGUCAGCUUUUGCGGUAUGUGUGUUGUGUGUGUGUUUCUACUGGCGAGACAUGAUUCUACAUUUUGCCCUUUUGGGGUUUUUUCAUUGAUUACAUAUCGUGCUUGUUUUUUUUUUAACUAUGGAAGGUUCCCGAGGAGAUUUUGGGGAGGGUAAGAGAUGAGGUGAAGCCUCCGUUGAUCACAAAUGCUCAGCCUAGAAACAGAACAAAAGGGCCAGAGGAGGAGACGUGGCAGUCACGGCUUGGUAGACUCUUUGUAAGAGUUGAAGACGUGACUGAUCAUUUGGCUAUGAAACCGGUUGAUAAUAGUAAGAAGAAGAAAUCAAGUGCCUACAAUGUUUUUGAGGCCGACCCGGACUUUAAGAACGUCAAUGGCCAGAGCAUAGUGGUUGACGAGAAGGAUACAGAUGAUUUGAAGGGUUCGAGUGUUGGAGUUUUCAUGGUUAAUCUAACGGAGGUUGAGCCACUUAAAAAAUAAUUUAAUACCUCGUUGCAUUGGUUUUUGAUUUCUUAUCAUGUUUUGAUGUUGACAUGAAAAUGAUGUAUCUAAUUUGUAGGGAUCAUUGAUGGGACCGCAUUGGAACCCUAGUGCUUGUGAGAUAUCGAUUGUGUUACAUGGGAAAGGGAUGAUUCGGGUGGUUAACCACUCGUUGCCGCAAAGCGAAAGCAAGAGAAAGAGCGAGAGUGUGAGGUUCAUGGUUGAGGAGGGGGAUGUUUUUGUUGUGCCGAAGUUUUAUCCUAUGGCUCAAAUGUCUUUUGAAAACAGCUCAUUUGUAUUUAUGGGAUUUAGCACGUCGGCGAAGACAAACCACCCUCAGUUCCUAGUAGGGCAGAGCUCGGUUCUGAAGGUAUUUGACCGGGAGGUACUUGCUGCAUCCUUCAACGUGAGAAAUGAGACUAUCGAGAGAUUGUUGGGAGCUCAAAGAGAAGCUUUGAUGUUGGAGUGUGUGUCCUGUGCCGAGGUAGAGCUUUCUAGGCUUAUGAGAGAGAUUGAAGAGAGGAAGAGACGUGAGGAGGAAGAAACUGAGCGAAGAAGGCAAGAAGAAGAAAGGAAAAGGGAGGAAGAGGCAGCCAAGCAAAGAGAAGAAGAGAGGAGGAGACGCGAGGAAGAAGAAGCUGAGCGAAGAAGGAAAGAAGAAGAGGAGGCAAGAAAGAGAGAAGAGGAGGCGGCUAAGAAACGAGAAGAAGAGAGGAGAAGACGUGAGAAAGAAGAAGAAGAGGCGAGAAAGAGAGAAGAAGAGGAGGCUAAGAGACAAGAGGAAGAGAGGGUAAGGCGUGAGAAAGAAGAAGAAGAAGAAGCAAGAAAGAAAGAAGAAGAAGAAGCAAGAAAGAGAGAAGAAGAAAGGGAGAGAGAGGAAGAGGAAGCUAAGAGACAAGAAGAAGAGAGGAAGAGGCGUGAGAAAGAAGAAGAAGAAGCAAGAAGGAGAGAACAAGAAAGGGAGAGAGAGGAAGAGGAAGCUCAGAGACAAGAGGAAGAGAGGAAGAGGCGUGAGAAAGAAGAAGAAGAAUUAAGAAAGAGAGAAGAAGAAAGGGAGAGAGAGGAAGAGGAAGCUCAGAGACAAGAGGAAGAGAGGGUAAGGCGUGAGAAAGAAGAAGAAGCGGCAAGGAAGAGAGAAGAAGAAAGGGAGAGAGAGGAAGAGGAAGCUCAGAGACAAGAGGAAGAGAGGGUAAGGCGUGAGAAAGAACAAGAAAAGGCAAGAAGGAAAGAAGAAGAAGAAGCGAGAAAGAGAGAAGAAGAAAGGGAGAGAGAGGAAGAGGAAGCUCGGAGACAAGAGGAAGAAAGGAUAAGGCGUGAGAAAGAAGAAGAAGCGGCAAGGAAGAGAGAAGAAGAAAGGGAAAAGGAAGAAGAGAUGGCUAAGAGACAAGAGGAAGAGAGGCAGAGGAAGAAGAGAGAAGAGGCGGAGAAGAAGAGACGCCAAGAAGAGGAAGCGAUGAAGAGAGAAGAGAGAAAGAGAGAAGAAGAAGCUUC